GAGGUCUAUCGCGGUGCCAAGCAUGACAAACGCACGAACCGCACCCGGCUGCUGAGGUUUUCGAAAAUCGUGAUUGGAUCCCUGGCGGAUCUCAAGGCGGUUAUCGGUCUGAAGGCGGCCCAUGAUACUUGGAAGGUGGAGGUGGAGCUUCUGAGAAAGUACAGGCCGCAUGGCCAAAACAGGCCACCUGUAAAAUUCCUCCGGCGUAGGGCCAAGGAGGCCGGAAUCACUCUUUUGCCUAAAAAAGUUAGAAAAGUUAAGGUGGAGUGUGAGGGUUGAGGGUUUAGGGUAUAUGGGAUAGUAGGGGGGGGUAUGGGGUAGUACGGGGGGGUAUGGGGUAGUACGGGGGGGGGGGAAUGGGAUCUUUCUGAUUCUGAGUUUCUACGUUGACUUUCUAUCUUGUAUAUAUAAAUCCAUAUAAUAUAUGCUAUCGCCGCCUAUCGUUAGGCUUUUUGUUGUUUGCGUUGAAUUCGUUUUCAUAGCCAUUUUUCCCCCUUAUGUGUUACUUGUAGAUUGGGUCAUAAGUGAUUCAAUUGGACUGGUCUGUUUCUCAUUUAUUUAUAGUUUAGUGUCUCAGAAAGUAUGCCUUUGUAUCCAUGUAAAGGCCUGUUCUUCAGUUGGAAUAACUUUACUGACGCAUUUGUUGGGCACAGCCUUCGGCUUUGGUUGUACUUUCAAACUUAUAGCCAACUGGUCCUCCACUUUGGGGUUUAGAAUAACAUGCAAAGCUCUUUAUCCAACAUACCAGACACUGAUAUUAGUUAUGGAAGUAUUUGCUCAGACUCAACCCUUGUGUUCCUUUAGCAGAGUGCAUUCUAGCUAAUGCUGUUUUAAUUCAGCCUGUGAUGCUUUAAUAGUUCUUUUUGUCUAUAUGUCAUGGUCUGACAGAGUCUGAUCUGUGACUUGAGCAAAACUUCAAGUUUAUUUAUUUGCUUCAAAGCAAUAUGAUCCCUUUUUAUGGCACUUGCUGUCUAGUUGCAUAGGGAAUAAUCAUAUGAUGGGAAUAGUAAUUUUUUUUAUUGCAAGGUCAAAAUGGGUAAUGAAUGUGCAGGCAUUAUGAAAAAUCCUCAUUGAAAUUCAAACGCAGAACUGUGGGUGUCCGUUUGGAUAUUGAAUUUGCAUAUCUUGCAAUUACAAUAUUGGUUUCAUUAAUUUGAGGUCUUUCACAAGAUCAGAUGAGUUUAUCAUCUGGUAAACCUUACGAUGGUAUAGUGUUCUCUUUGAUUGAUCUCUAAUGUCAAUUGUCAAGAUGGCUAGAAUGGUAUAGUUUUUCAUUUUGUAAUAGCUCCUGAUUGUGUUUGUCUUUUGUAGUCUGUGCCCAGGAGCUGAGUAUCUGUUGCAAAUUGUGCAUGAAGCUGUUCCAGGAGCCUAUUUUGAACCCAAUUCUUAUAUAGCAGCAGCAGAUGUUGCUGUUUACAUUCUUAAUCAGCUAUACAGAAAACUCGAUGAAGUUUGUCUUGUGCAAGGGGGUGAGGUUGUGAAGCUAUGUUGGUUGUGUCAAAGAGUUUCUGUACCCAGUUUCUGUGCAUGCCUUGAUUAAGCUUUGCUGAUCCAAAUAAUGCUCUUUCAGGAGGAUGCUUAUCGGAUGUUACUUUACAUAUUUACUGGGAGUCUACUGCCUUAUGUUGAGGGUCUUGAUUCUUGGCUUUUUGAAGGGACUCUCGACGACCCUUUUGAGGAGGUAAUACUUCAUGAAAGUUGUAUUGUGUAUCUCUUGGUUGGAGCAUGCUGUUACGAAAAUGGUCAAGUUAUGAUACUUGUUUGGUGCUUGUUUUUCACAAUUAAUGACUCAAUACUCAAAACUUGAUUUGCCUAUUGUAUUGUGACCUUCUUUGAAUCAGUUUGAACUGUAUUCAAUUUUGUGAUAAGGAUAAAUGAGCAGUCAAAGAGUCAGCAAAUCUGUGUAGGUAGUCCUGCAACAUUUCUCUUAGGCAAAACAUGACUUUCAUCAUUUCUUUAUAAAGCAGGCAUUUUGACUCAGUCUCCACUGUAUACUUGUGUAUUUGGUCAUAAUCUGCCUUUUUUGAUCAUUCUGUUUUUGCCAGAUGUUCUUUUAUGCUAACAAAGGAAUUGCAAUUGAUGAGACUGAGUUUUGGGAGAAGAGCUAUCUGCUAAGGACAGCAAAAAUUAAAAACCUGGAGAUCGGUUCCUCAUCUGAUGUUUUACUAAAAGACAAAAAAGAUAUUACUGGAAGAGAGUCGAUUUCUACGAGAGAAAAAGAGGGGGGGGAGAUAGAACAUCAUGUUUGUCCUUUGUUCAUUAAGGACAUGGGUAAGGCAAUUGUUUCUGCUGGGAAGUCCUUGCAGCUUAUACGACAUGCACCUUUGCCAUCACUUUCAGAUGUACCUGCCGAUAACCAUGAGAUUAGGCAGUGUAUAGCUGGUUUGACUUUAUCAGAGGUCCUUUGCGUGUCAUUGGCGGCACUGAUUGGUCAUAGCGAUCACAUAUCUGAAUAUGUUUGGCGUGAUAAUUUGAUUGUUUCUUCAUUUGAAUCUUCUGUGGGAAAGGAGAAAGAAGAGAGAAAUGGCGAGAUUUUACCAUUUAUAUCAUCAGAUAAGGUCUGGUAUAAAAUCUUGGCCAAUGUAUUGGGGCAGAAAAGAGAGAUUGUUUCAGGAUCUACACAUAUAGAUACUGAUGUCUUUAGCUUACAGAAAGAAAAACUAGGUCCUGAUGGAGUUGAUGAUGUUCCUUGUGUUGGAACAUAUUGUCCUCAAAAUCCUGCUAUAACUGUUUGUCAGAGAUUUCUUUACGGGAAUAAGGAUGCUCAGAGUGCAUUAAGUUUGUCUAGAAAUUUGUAUCUUCCUCCUUUAGAUGAUAAGGAAUUAAGAAAGGCUGUAUUUUACAAAAAUAGUGGAUCUUGUUCUGAGGAAAAAAGCACAGAUUUUACUUUUGGCUUUUGGUUUGAUGAAUCUGAAUAUGUUCGUAGACAGGAAGAAACAAAAAUGUUAGAGAUGCUAUUUCCAUUUAUGACUUUGCUUCCAUCUUUUCAGGUAUAGCUAUUUUGUUAGUACUAUGUUUGUCACAGUAGUUUUUAGAACAUUUGAAAUCUGAGCAAUUCUUUCUGUGGCGGAACAGGAGGACCUUCACAUGUCAGAGUUUUUGCCAUUUGAGAAAAAUAGUACCCUUCCAUCAAGAAUUCUAAGUUGGAUGCAGAGUGCUGAACCAAAGGUUACCCCACUUCCUGUUGUUAUUCUACAGGAAUGCCUUAUUGCCUACAUCAAGAAACAGGUGGACUGCACAAUUAUUUUUGGUUUUCGGUGUCUUAUUUGUUGCCUACAUUCUUAAGGCUGAAUUAUAUUUAGAAGUUAUUUUCAUUAAUCUACAGGCAGAUUAUAUUGGUAGGAUUAUAUUGUCAAAGCUACUAUAUGACUGGAGAUUGCUGGAUGAGCUAGAAGUAUUACGCGCCAUAUAUUUGUUAGGUUCAGGUAUUCUAGGAUAUUGGUCAAACGGAUACUUCUAGCAAUCUUGGGUGUUAUCAGAAAAUACCAUUCAUUGAUUGAAAGCUUGAAACCUUUUUAUUACAGGGGAUCUUCUGCAACAUUUUUUGGUAGUGAUUUUUAACAAGUUAGAUAAAGGAGAAUCGUUAGAUGAUGAUUUUGAGUUGAACACCAUAUUGCAGGUGCACAUGCUGAACCUUUAACCAUAUUUGUACUAUUGUGCUGUACUAUCCUGAUUUUACAUUUCUUCCUUCCCAUGAAUGAUCUAUAUUUGUCAUGCUAUAAUGUUCAUUGGAAGCCUGUUCUCUUUUUCUGAAUGAGGGAAACUGGUUAGUUAUCUCUUUUUUUGUUGGUGCAUUUUUCUUCAAAUUAUCUUCACAGGUUGGUGUUUUAAUACCACUUAACCGAUAAUGGGACUAGCAAGUGACCGUGUUUGCUUGGUGAGGGUGAAUAUACAGUUAGUGCCUCAAUAAUGACAAUGCUUAUGUUUACUUCAGGAAUCUAUUAGAAGCUCUGCUGAUGGCUCACUUCUGAGCACACCUGAUUCAUUGGUUGUGUCCAUCACAAAAAACUCUGAUUUAAGUGAGGAUGAACAACAUGGUGCAUCUAUCCAAAUCUCAACUCCUCGCAAAAGUCGACUACAGACCAUGGGAAUUGAUGUCCUUCAGUCACUAAAUUUUACAUACAAGGUAGGCAGUAUGAUUUAUAUGCAUGCUUCUGCUUUCAAGAGGUGCCUGCUGUUUGCGAGCUGUCAAGCACUUCAACUUCAUUUACCUUGAAUAAUACCUUGUUGAUGAACAUCUUAAGUGCACAUGUUUCUUGAAUAUACAGGUCUCCUGGCCACUUGAACUUCUAGCUAAUGUAGAGGCACUAAAGAAGUAUAACCAGGUACCUAAUUGGCUUCAUAUGGACAAAUUGUAAUUAGUCUUGCACUGUAAUUCUUCUGAACAUAUGGUACAGGUCAUGAUUUUCCUGUUAAAGGUCAAGCGUGCAAAAUUUGUUCUUGAUAAGGCUCGGAGGUGGAUGUGGAAGGUUCCUGAUUUUUUACUCUCUUUUGCUUUCAUCAUGUUGCAGCAGUGAAAUUUUGUAUUGCUAAACAAAAAUUUCAUGGCUUAUGAAAGGUAUUCUUUAGAUCACUGAUUCGAUACUUUGCCUCUCUCAGGAUAGAAGCACUGCUACAACUACUCGCAAACGCCAUUGGUUAUUGGAGCAAAAAUUACUGCAUUUUGUCAAUGCCUUUCACCAGUAUGUGAUGGACAGGGUAAUGUAUUUUACCGCCUUGUUUAGUACGUUAACAACUUUUAGGGUUUGGUUCUUGUAUUACUUGCAUAUAAAGAUGGACAGGGCUUUCAUAUUUGUAGGUGGUUAUGUGAUAGAGGGUUCUUAGACUAAUUUUUUUUCAAAUAAAUUAGAACAAGCUAAUCUAAACUUGCUUGCCUCUUUUGCGUGUAUAAAAUUUAACUACCAAAGAUAUAUUCUCUAAGAAGAUUCACUUGAAUUUUGGAUGAUCUUCAUUCAAAUUAAAUUGUGUAAAUGCAGCUAGGUUUAUUUGGCAAUACAAGUACGCUACAUGCAAGGUUGAGAGUAUCAAUGCGUAUCUUCUUUGAAGAGAAAUUUUGGUUUCUUGCACUUCUUACACGAAGGCUGUGUGCAGGUAUAUCACAGUGCAUGGCGUGAACUCUGUGAAGGUGUUGCAGCAGCUAGGUCUUUGGAUGAAGUCAUUGAAGUGCAUGAAUCCUAUCUUUUGUCAAUUCAGACACAGUGCUUUGUUGUUCCUGACAAGCUGGUCCAUAACUGCCUCCAAUAACUUUGCUUUUGCCUACCCUUAUUUUUCCUUUCUAUUGGACGUUUUGUUAAGAAACUAAUAAGAUAAAUUGUGUUAACAUUUUUGAUGAUUAUUGUUUCAUUACUAGUGGGCAUUGAUAGCCAGCCGAAUCAACAAUAUCCUUGGACUUGCUUUGGACUUCUAUUCCAUACAGCAGACUCUAAGCAGUGGUGGAGCAGUGUCUGCCAUAAAGACAAGAUGCGAAAUGGAAGUAGAUCGGAUAGAGAGACAGUUCGAUGAAUGCAUAGCUUUCCUUCUCAGGGUAUUCCUUCUCUAUCCUUUUGUUGGUUUUGAUGCAUAUGCUAAGAAAAUUUAUGUCCAUGCGCUAGUGGAUUGAAGUGUAAAUCCACUGUUGUGUAGUAGCAUGGAUAAUGGAAAAACUGCGGUUAAUCUUGGUUAUAGUUUUGAUAUUCUCCAGCUUAGGAGAAAAGGAUUUCAUCAUCUUUGUCACUACGUUGCAGAUUCUAUCUUUCAAGCUGAACGUGGGGCAGUUUCCUCAUUUAGCAGAUUUGGUUACGAGAAUUAAUUACAAUUAUUUCUACAUGUCUGAUAGUGGAAGCCUGAUGACAACUUCGGGCUCGGAUGUUAUUACUUCAAGAUAGGGUCGUCCAAGUCAAGAUGGACUGGGUUAUUGCUCUGUGUGGUAUAAAAUCAACAGAAAAACAAAAAAUUGAUGUCUUUCAGCAUGGUGUGAUAGUUGAAUGAGGAAUUUAGGUAUCUCUGCAUCCUGAUAAGCUCCUAAUGCAGAAGCUGCAAGUUGAUAAAUUGAAGUUGGGUUGCUUUGCUUACCGCAUCUUGAAGCGCUUGAGAUUGGAGGAUCAUGUAUUUAAGACAGCACGCAUACUUUGUUUGAAGGAAGAUAGCAGGUAUACUUGUUUGAUAGAUUUUUAAUGUCGUAGAUUGGCUUCCCUAGUUGAUUGAACAAAUAUUUAUCAUCGUUUCAGGACUUCUGCAUUCUCCUACUGCUGAUGAUAUUACUAUUAGAGAUGAAAAUAUCAUUGGUUUAGCCGCUUGGUUGUUGUGAUUACAAUUUAUAUGCUGUCAUACGUGUGAUGUUUUGUAAGUGCGGCGUUGCAGUCAAUUUACAGAUUGGUUUUAACAAUAAUUUUUCCACAAUUAUAUCAAUGUAUGUUGCAAUUUUGUUGGCUAUAGAUUUGAUUGUGACAUAACCAGUUUGCUGUGUUUUAUAUUGAAAUUUACAGCACAUCAUCACCUGCCAAAAUACUCUACCCCGCGACUGGAGCAAAAACAAGACAAUGUCAUCAUUAUCAUGCCAAGUUCAACUCGAAGCUGGAAACCCUACCCCCCGAAAACUAAUAUACUUGUUGAGAGAGUUGACAGGAUCAGUCCUGAACUAGAGGAUUCAAUACCGCUCCAGUAAACAGCACUGACCUGGAGCUCUCUUCCUUAUCAUGAACAUGAAAGGAUGUUCAGCCACAAAUCUCGUCUCAUCAUCUAAUGAGCAACCAAGUAAUCACACGCAACAGUAACAGCUGCUGCUUCCGUGCCUACCUCAUCUACCUCUAUAAAAGCUUUUUGAACUAUCUCAGAGACAUAAAAUGGAAAUCCGUUGGUGUCUAUGAACCCGGUUAGCUCUUUACAGUCCUACAUAAAUGGUAACUUUAGCACCAUAUCUUCCAUGGUUUGUCGCCCUUUAGAAGUAUGGAAUGCAAACUUAGACUUUGGAAUCCAGAAAGUAUCAUAUCCCCCGUACUUGAGCUGAAAAUCUUGUGUAAAGAAUCCCGAAUCAAGAGUUGUCUGUUCCAAUAGAUUAUGCAAUCCAUCUCUCUCAUUUGGAAGGAAAAUGAACAAGGAGAAUACUUUUCCUCUCUGAUAUGGAAUACUAACAACCUCAAAACCUUCGUAUGAUCCAUGAGUGAGUAUAUGCUUCGCAACCAGUCAUGAAGGGUACUGAAACUGUGUCCCCAUUUAAAAGGUAAAAGUCUCCGUUCGCGGUUUCCUCUGCGUUAAACUUUUCCUCCCACGAACCUUUGAAGUACAGUGUAGUUCCAAGAAUGAGCAUGGUAGCUGGAGUGAUGUUGGCAGGCGUGAGAACGUCGGUCACGAGCCCUUUGGUUGCUGAUUUUGCCCAUGCAUUCACAAUUUCAACAACUUUAUCACCCCACGGAUGAAUCAAUACAUACAUAAUAUCUAUGAAAUAAAACAAUAAACUUAUAUUUGAGCCUAAUCGGGCUGCAUAUGUACAACUCCUUUACAAUUCCGAAUUCAAUUCCGUACUUUAAUCCAACAUUAAUGCUAAUCCGAAUUUGAGAUCAAAAUCAUUCAAAAUCGAAUUCAAAUUAAGCCCUUAAUGAACUGAGUCCGAAUGUUUCGUUAGGGCUCGAUUGUCCCAUGGACUAUGGGCUUCUGUCUCAAAACAGCAUUCAAGAUGCAUGAUGCAUUUUUGAAAAAAAAGAUUCACGAUACACGAUUGCAACGACAUUAGGAAAUUUCACAAUUAUAUAUUUCUUUCUAAUACGAGGUUAAGAAAUCACCUAAAUCAACAGUAGCCUAAGCAGAUUUUGUGUCCAUAAAGCCAAGUGAAUUCCAGAACAAAAGAAAAAUAAUCAACAUACCUGGUUAACAAAGUCCACGUUCUUGGCUUGGGCUUUAUAAACUCUCUCAACGAGUCUUUGAUACGAUGGUUUUAGAGGGUAUUGUUUGUCUGCCCACAGUCCGUUCGCCAGACAGAUAACAGGACCACCACCAUGAUUGCCAUUGGUGGUGUUGUGAUCAUCAGUUGAUGAUGAUGCAAUGCUCGUCAAGUUUUUUAACUUUGAAUUGACAUGAUCAAGGUUGUUGCAUUCAAGAACUUGGACAUCUGGUACAAGGUCAAUCCAGUCGAUCCUGCAGCAAUCAUGCUGAGUACAGCAUUGAAUGAUAGCGGGGAUAGCACCAUAUUCUUCCUGCAACCAUCUUCGAUCUCGUUGAUCAGAAGAUGGCCCGUCGUCUUGGCACAAAAUUCCAUUGUUAUUAUUUUUUUCAAUUGACUCACAGUUUCCGAAUCCACGAAUGGAAUCAACUUACAACUUCGGCUUUGGACUUGGAACUUGCUUCACCUCUUCAACCGAUGUAUUACUGAAAAGAAACAAGACUAAACAAUAUAGAAACUAGUACUACUAAUUAGCAAAUAACAUGUACUAAUAAAAGACUUGAUUUAAUUUCCAUACUGGGGGAUGGAGGGGCCCUUGGGGACAUUAUUUCGGUAGAUUGAUCUUCCCAUGCGCAAGAACAGAAGUCUCAUUGUUACAGCAAUAGUACAAACACCAGAUGACCAAUCCCAUCCCUGAUUUGCACUUAUCCAUACUAAAAAAGUGACCCCAAGCAUUGCUCCAGUAGUGAUGGAGAAUAACAACCAGUUGAAGAAGCUGGCAAGUUUAGGUGCCUCCAGAGGGUUCCUUUCAUCAAAUUGGUCGGCUCCCAGGGAUGGCAAUGCUGCUUUUACUCCGCUGUUGCCAAACGCGAACAAAUAGAGACCUGCAAAUAAGAGGGCUUCUUGGCUUCUGGUUAUUGCCUCGCAUUGAGUCGACUUCAGCGUGGCUGCAUCCUUGCAGGGAAGUGGUCUUAGUUGUGGAAAAUGUGCUUGCACCGUCGGGACAGCAAGUCCCUGAAAAAGUCAUAAUAAUAUGCUCAGCCAACAUCUUUUAAGAGAUUUCACGUUUUGCCCACUUAAAUAAAUAGAAAAAAUAAAACAUUAUGCCUACUCGCGUUUUUCCCUCGUUUUGGACACUACAGCUCCUAUGAGUAUGCAUCGCUUUCGCAUGGGUCGGACAAGGCCACGUGGGGAUUAGGUUUAUUUGCGUAAAAUUUUUAUUUUCGUAAGAAAAUGUCAGAAAGAAACUCAUUUUCAGGGGCUUGGGGAUCUUUAUCUCUUAGCAGCGGGGCACCCUGUGGGGUUUCUAUCCCACAUCGGUAUUGGGGGGUUGGGGUUUGGGUAGAUAAGUCCCUCACAGGACUCCAAAAGUUGCCGGCUUUUGGAGUUACUGUGGGGAUUAGGUUUAUUUGCGUAAAAUUCUUACUUUUGUAAGAAAAUGUCAGAAAGACAAGGGGCACGGACGGUUGCAGGUACAACCGUCCCCAACGGUAUUGGCCAUUUUCAACAGCGCGUAACUUCGGUUGCACACGACGUAACUUUGUUUGUACAAUAUAUAACUUUAGUAUUAAAUUUUGCGAGUCCCACACAUGAUAUUAAAAUAGAUGCACAACUUGUGAUCUAGAUGCAUAAUUUGUUGGGGCCAAAUCAUGGCCAUUAACAGCUCAGGAGCGGUCAUGGUGUACUAUCAAACUAUGUGGACGUGUGUAAGUAGCAAUUAAGAUGACUUUGAAAUUGUUACGCAACUCAUAUUUUUGUACCAUCAAAUUUAAUGCACUACACUAGUCUAUCAUUUGCUUAUUUUGUCUUGGAAUGAAAAAUCUCCUGGAGCUAGUCAGUCUAGUCAGUGGUGGAGCCAGAAAAAAUUUUUAAUUGGGGCAAAAGUAACACUAAAAUUUUUUUCCUCCUCUUUUAUUAGUUUUUUAAGUAAAAAAAAUAUUCACCAAUAAGUUAAAAUGAAAAAAAAAAUUGAACUUAUUUCAAAUGGAAUAUUGUGAUCCACAUAUUCUUUUAGAAUAUUAGUUCAUGAACCAAUUUAAAAGAUCAUGUAAUUCUUUCAUUUAUUACAUAAAAAAAACUUUGGAGACACAAUUAAGAUAAAAUCAAAAUUUUAUGCAUAUUGUAGGAAUUUAAGGGGAGCAGUGGGGGCUCGUGCCCCCACCUUAAAUCCGCCAGUGGUCUAGUUGUGUUUAUUUUGCCUAAUAAGUAGAAUGUACUAAUUGUUUAGAUUAUUUUCAUUUCCAUAUUUAUCAGAUUUCCAAGGUGUUGCCAAUCUUUAAAAAUCCGGCAUACCUUUGAGUUUGGAUAACACUUUUUUAAAUGUAAUAUAUACAGAGAUAAAAAAAUAAUUAAAAAAUAUAUUGAUGAUAUAAGUAAAUAAGUAUAUUAUGUAAAUAAUGUGUAAACAAGGUAUAAUCCAAACACAAAACUGUAGCAAUGCAUCUAGACUAGUGGAUGGAAGUUGAACAGUCGAUGUGCAAUAUAUUAGACUAGUGUAUGGCCUUUCUCAUCGAAUAAAAUGAACUACUAUUAUGCUAAAAAGGCGGAGACAUAUAGGCUUUUAUUCCCGUGGAAAUACAAGAGAUCUACAAGAUUGGCUCAAAAGCAAACAAAUACAUAAUAAUUGAAUAGGGGAUUUUUUUUUUUUUUUUUUUUUUUCCUGAGAGAUGGAAUAGAGGGUUACUACGUGAUUUAGUGUCAAAGCGACGACUUUCGAUAAAAGAAGAAAAGUGGAGGACAACAGCGAGUAGCUUGGGAUCACCUAGAUCAAUGAUGAAAUUAUUGGAUUCAACAAAUAUAACUACUACUAAUUAAAAGCAAACAUCACUAAUGGUAGUGUAUAAUUUUCAAACCAUAAUUGAAAAAGAAGACAGAAAGGGCCAAAACAAAAAAAAUGGUCUUAUACCGGGAAUACGAUUUUGCUGCAAUUGGUUGCUUCCACAACCUCAAAUCCUUAGCAAUUAUUUCUUCUAGUAAUUACCAAGACAUUAGUUCAAAUAUAAAACCCUGGUGUUCUCUCUUCAUUUAUUUAUUUUUCAAUAGAGAGGCAGACAGUCUAAGCUGGCAAAGCAGUGACAUAAUCUGCAGCAAGAUCCUAUUUUAAGUUACAAUUAGUACCCUCCUCUCUGUCCUCAACCUUUCGUCGCCGUCGGAACCCUAACUUGAGAACAAUAUCAAGCAUACUCAACAUGGCCGCUCUGCCAAAAUCAACGAGGGUCCUGCGCGCUUAUAGGAUUGCCAAGAACACUGCCAAGGAGGCUCGCGAGGUCUAUCGCGGUGCCAAGCAUGACAAACGCACGAACCGCACCCGGCUGCUGAGGUUUUCGAAAAUCGUGAUUGGAUCCCUGGCGGAUCUCAAGGCGGUUAUCGGUCUGAAGGCGGCCCAUGAUACUUGGAAGGUGGAGGUGGAGCUUCUGAGAAAGUACAGGCCGCAUGGCCAAAACAGGCCACCUGUAAAAUUCCUCCGGCGUAGGGCCAAGGAGGCCGGAAUCACUCUUUUGCCUAAAAAAGUUAGAAAAGUUAAGGUGGAGUGUGAGGGUUGAGGGUUUAGGGUAUAUGGGAUAGUAGGGGGGGGUAUGGGGUAGUACGGGGGGGUAUGGGGUAGUACGGGGGGGGGGGAAUGGGAUCUUUCUGAUUCUGAGUUUCUACGUUGACUUUCUAUCUUGUAUAUAUAAAUCCAUAUAAUAUAUGCUAUCGCCGCCUAUCGUUAGGCUUUUUGUUGUUUGCGUUGAAUUCGUUUUCAUAGCCAUUUUUCCCCCUUAUGUGUUACUUGUAGAUUGGGUCAUAAGUGAUUCAAUUGGACUGGUCUGUUUCUCAUUUAUUUAUAGUUUAGUGUCUCAGAAAGUAUGCCUUUGUAUCCAUGUAAAGGCCUGUUCUUCAGUUGGAAUAACUUUACUGACGCAUUUGUUGGGCACAGCCUUCGGCUUUGGUUGUACUUUCAAACUUAUAGCCAACUGGUCCUCCACUUUGGGGUUUAGAAUAACAUGCAAAGCUCUUUAUCCAACAUACCAGACACUGAUAUUAGUUAUGGAAGUAUUUGCUCAGACUCAACCCUUGUGUUCCUUUAGCAGAGUGCAUUCUAGCUAAUGCUGUUUUAAUUCAGCCUGUGAUGCUUUAAUAGUUCUUUUUGUCUAUAUGUCAUGGUCUGACAGAGUCUGAUCUGUGACUUGAGCAAAACUUCAAGUUUAUUUAUUUGCUUCAAAGCAAUAUGAUCCCUUUUUAUGGCACUUGCUGUCUAGUUGCAUAGGGAAUAAUCAUAUGAUGGGAAUAGUAAUUUUUUUUAUUGCAAGGUCAAAAUGGGUAAUGAAUGUGCAGGCAUUAUGAAAAAUCCUCAUUGAAAUUCAAACGCAGAACUGUGGGUGUCCGUUUGGAUAUUGAAUUUGCAUAUCUUGCAAUUAGAAUAUUGGUUUCAUUAAUUUGAGGUCUUUCACAAGAUUAGAUGAGUUUAUCAUCUGGUAAACCUUACGAUGGUAUAGUGUUCUCUUUGAUUGAUCUCUAAUGUCAAUUGUCAAGAUGGCUAGAAUGAUGCUUAACUCUCCUCUCCCCCUGGCUAGAAUGAGGAAACAUAAAUUUAGGCUCUUGUUCAGUAAAAUAUGGAUGCAAUGAGUGGGCAGACUUUCCGUUUUUGCUAUUGUCACACUUUUCAUUCUUCAAACCUCUAAAAUAUUACGUGUUCAGACGACAAUUUCUUUUGCAUUGUCAGACAACGAUGUAGAGAGGAAUAUGCUGUAUUGCUGAUCAAGAUCCUUGUGCUGAGAAAUCAAAAUCAAUUUGCUGUCAUUGAUGUGAGAUUACUUGUGUUGCGAUUUGUUAAAUUUGGUUUGUCGGCUCUGUUGUGAUUCAGUUGCUUCCUUUUUGAGUCUAGUUUAUUCAAUUCUCAUUUCUUUCCUUUGACAAUAAUAUAGGCAAUCUUCUUGAAAUCAUCUGGGAUAAUAAUUGUAGUGUGUGUAUAUAUGUGUGCAUAUCUUCUUCUUUCUCCAGCUGGUCGCUUCUUUAAUCAUGUACUUUGGUUGUCAUGAUAAAUUGAAUCAAUUGUUGUUUAGUUGAAGAGCAUAUUUCUUAAAGCUUUGUCUUCUUGAAUGUGUCUUGAGUGCUGACACUCUGUCUUGCACCAUAUUGUUUUGCAGGUUUCGUAUGUUUUUAGGAAGCCUGAAGUUUCAGAUAUUGUGAUUUUUAAAGCACCUCCAAUUCUUCAAGUAUGUGAUGCACCGUUUGACUUCUUUCUUGUCUUAACUCUCAGUGUCUGAUUUUUUAUGACUCAAGGACUAAAGUUGCGUUCUUAUUCAGGAAAUUGGUUAUAGUUCUGGUGAUGUCUUCAUUAAGAGAGUUGUCGCUAAGGCUGGAGACUAUGUGGAGGUAUGUGAUUCUUUUCCAUAUAAUCUAGCGACGUUUUUUCUUUAAUGGCAUUGAGGUUAUGGUUUUUAAUUUACAAUGUUCUCUUAACAUUAGGUUCGUAAUGGCAAAUUGCUGGUAAAUGGGGUAGCUCAAGAUGAGGAUUUCAUCUUAGAACCAGUGGCAUAUGAGAUGGAUCCGGUGGUAUGUCAACUUGUCCCUUGGAUUGCUUUUUCAUGAUAUGAAUAUAAUUUCUUGUUUUGAAUUUCAAACCCAUUUUCCAUUGAUUUGUAAAUGCGCUGCCCUGUGUUUUCUGUAGCUUGUCCCUGAGGGGUAUGUCUUUGUCAUGGGUGAUAACCGCAACAACAGUUUCGACUCGCACAACUGGUAAUGAUUGAUCUGCAGUUUUUUUAUCAACAUAAGUAGAUAACGUCCCAACAGCAUUCAGCCAAAAGUUUCGUCGUCCUCUCACGUGCCACGCAUGUGGGUUGGGAGCGUUGUGUUGUUCGCGCGUCGCGCGCUGCUUGUCCUCCGUCAGUAUCCCAUGUGCCUCCUGCUGCGUUGUCUGCCGCGUUCUCUGUAUGUGGCUGUAUCACGUGCCCCUUCUUCCCACUGCUUUCUCUCUCUCUCCUCCUUUUGGGCAAUGUUGCUCUCUUGCUUAUCCGGCUGUUCUGAGCCCUGGGCCAGGAUCCUGCUGAGAUAUCCGGUUCCCUUCUUACCACGCAAGAAGCAUCAAGCCUCGAGCUCUCGCGUUCUCUGGGUUGCAGCGGUCCAGACGUUUGGUUCUCCUCCUCUUCCUCCGUGGUGAGUUUUCUUCUUCUUCCUUUUCUUCCUUUUCGGUGACAUGCAGUCUUUGCUGUGAGUUUUCUGCAUUAUCUUUUCUUUAGCAUGAAACUGAUGUUUUUGCUCUUUGUUCUUGUUUCCCUUCUCGAGCCGCGUAAUGCCCAUCGAGCCUCUGUCUCUCGCUUUCUCUGGGUUUCAGUCAUCCAAAUCGGCUGCCGUCCGUUCGCUUCUCCUCCUCUCCUCCGUGGUAAGUUUUCUUGUUCUUCCUUUAUGGUUAGGUUCGUCUUCGCUGAGAGUUUCCCCUAUAAAUUUUUUUUUUUUGGUUCUUUGGGUCCUCUAGAUCUACUAUUUUGCUCUCCGGAAGGCUGCAAACUUGCUCUUUCAAUGAUGUGGUUGUGCUUUUUUUUUUUUUCUUGAUUUGAGAAUAGCUUCUUACAAGUCAUGUUCAGUUGUGGGUAUUUAGAAGACUUGGGUUCUGUUCUGUUUUAGGUACUAGCUACAUGUGCAGUUGUGGGUUUUUUUUAACCAUUCUCUUGCCCUUCUCUUUCAAUGCUUUUCUCUUUUACUGGUUUGAGAAGCGAUUCUUGAGACUUCCUUCUUACAGACCAAGGAGGUGCCGUCUUCGCCCCUUUUUCCUCCCCGAACGCAGGCCUUCUGUUUUUCCUCUCGGGUAAGGUACGAUCUUGCCCUUCUUUUUCCUCUCGGUUUGACUAUUUCUUCUUGACAGGAGGCUUGGGUGUUCUUGGGGGUUUCUCGACUGAUUUUGUUUCCAGAGCUUUCAAUCUCACCCAAGAUGAAUCAGAUCAGCUCCUGACGUACCAAACCGGUGCUUUAAUUGUCAAGCUUGUUGAGGUCAAACGUUGCACGAUCCAUGCAAAGAUGCUGAUCACAUCGAGAUGUUAUUCGACUUUGAAAGUGCCAAGCCCAGCAUCCACGUCAAUCAGGGCGGAUCACUGACCAUUGCUACUCCUGAAAAUUUUCCUUUUCUGGAGAAAGUGGGACUAAGUGCUAAUGUCGUGAAGUUGGAUCCGUUGUCCAUGUUAACCCCAUGUAUACCGCUGAUGCAUCCUUCCAGUUGAUUUACUUCGCUAAAGGCAGUGGUGUGAUUCGAAUUUCGGGUAUGACUGGUGGGAAGGCAUUGGACGCCCGGGUGCAGAGCGGCCAGUCACUCGUCGUGCCUAAAUUCUUCUCUGCUGCCAAGGUUGCAGAUGGAGAUGGAUUGGAGUAUUUCUCUGUUGUCACAUCUUUAGAGUAGGUUUUAGUUUGAAGAUUAUAUACUACUAUUGUUCUUCCUUGGACUGUUAAGCAAGAAAGGGUUGAAGAUCAUGGGCUGAGUGAAUCUGGCAGAAUUUUUAAACCCAUCAUUUUUCUCAAAAAAAGGCAGUAACAAUUGGAGAUUCUCAUUACUUUUUUUUUUUUUUUUUUUUUGCCUUUUGCAGGCCAUCUUUUGUUCAGUUGGCCGGGGAAAUGUCAGUUUGGAAGGCAAUGGCUCCCUCGGUUCUACAAGCUUCUUUCAAUGUUAUCCGGGGUUCGUGGAACUUUUCAACAUAAGUAGAAUAAGAGCCGAAGAGCUCUUCUGACGUGGAUGGUUUUCGUCGUCCUCUCACGUGCCGCACAUGUGAGUUACCAGCCAUUUUUUUCCCGCGUGAUGCGCCAGAAGUCCUGCAUAUACUUCCUCUCUAGGGUUUUCUUAAAUUCCUCCGCCGCCGCCGCUUUGCCUCACCUUAUUCUCAGAAGCUCCGUCUCCUCGACUUUGUUUUCUCUUCUCCUUUCUCCUGCAUUUGUCUUUUCUUCUUUUCUAUCUCGUCUUCCUCUCUUCUUUCUUUUCUCCUAUUGUAGAUGGAUUGAAGCUGUUUUCUCCUCCCUUCUCCUCUUCUUCUCACCGCCGCUCCUUGGUCAGAUCUUUCCCUCUGCUUGUUGCUCUCAAAAUCUUUAUUAUCUCUCCUCCUUCUUUCCUUCUCAUUCUUUGAUUUCAUUCUUAAAUAUUACUUUCACCUUUUUAUUGUUUUUCUUUUUUCUUUAACUUUUUUUUGCCCGAUUGAUCGGCUGAUACCAUGAGAGCUGCAUAUUUCUUUUCAAAAAUUAUUUGUAGCUUCAAACCUGGUAAACGAAAUCGCGGCUACCAUAGUCGGCCAUACACAAAAUAUGUAACUCCACAGUGGUCUUUUCCACUGCUCUUUUUUUUCCCCGUUUCUUGGCUCCUUGGUUGGGAGACUGCUGUUUUUUGUCUUGCUUUUGAUUUCUUGACUUAUUUUUCAGUCUCAGAUAGAACUAGAAGUGAAGCGUCAACUGCUGCUUCCUCUCUAUUGUUUCAGGUACUACCUUGGUUUUUCCGCUACUUUCCCUUCAUUGGUGAUUUUUUUUCGCUUUCUUUUCUAUUAAAACUUUGGUUACAUUGAUGUUUUGUCUUGUUUUAUCUAGAAUGCAACUAGAGUGUAGAUCUGUGGAGCUUUCAAUUUAUGCACUCUUAUUUUUCGUCUGAGAAAGAACUACAAGCACUGAAGCAUCUUCUAUCCAUUAAGGUACUACCUUCAUUAUUUUGUUAUUUUCUCUCUAUUUUUGUUUAUUUUCCUUCCAUGUUUGAGCAAUUGUGGUGUUGCUGUUUUUUACACUUCUCAGCUGUUCUUUGUGCUUGUUUCAUGGCUGUUUGUAUUGAUUUUUACCCCUUGGAAUUUUUUUUUUAUUUUUACCCGGUAAAAUCCUUUCUGCUAUGGCAUUUUUUCCCUCCUAGAUUUUUUUUUUGUUUUCCUUUCUUUUAAGCUUUUUUGUGCUUGUUUCAUGUGCUAUUUGGGUUAUUUUUAGUUCUAGGAUUCCACCCUAAAAAGGCAAAAAAAAAUAAAGAAAUCCCCGGGACUUGGAUUUCCUGCUAGAAUACAUAUUUUGUCUUCCUACCUUAGAUUUGCUCUGCAUUCCUGUUUUUCUCCUCCUCUGUAAAAACUUGUUUGAUACUAAUGGUUGUCGUAUUUUGUUGUGCAAGCAUUUUUUUCAUUGCUUUUAGGAAACUGGUUUGUGAUUUCUUUGGUGGUUGUUUUCCAUUAAAAGUUUUUUGUUUGUGUUGCAGCUAUUGCACCUUUUUCUUGUGUCGUGUUUGCUCAUUUUUUUGAGUUGUUAUCAGGCUUAUGAUACUUUUUCGUCGGUGCUGUUGGAAAUUUUUUUCCUUUCUGUAAUGCCUUUUACUAAUCAGUUUGUGAUUGCAUUACUAAUGCCGUUGUACUGUACAAUUUGUAAGUUUUGCAUUCAGAUCAUAUUUAGAGUAAUAAGUUUUACAUUCAGAUCAUAAGUCAAUUUUGGAAAGAAUAAGUUUUGCAUCAGAUCAUAUGUGAGGCUACAAUUUGUAAAGAUUAGAAUAACAAUUUUUCAUACCAAGUGCAAAUGAUGCUUGAAGUUUCAUUCCUUGGAGCAAACAUCUUUUAUGUUCUGUUUUUUGUAUUUUUUGGGUUUUGCUUUUCUUUAUUUUACUUUGAAGCUUUUCGUUCUGUAAGUAUCUUUGUGAUUUAGUUACAAGAAGAAAGAAGUUUUGUCCUCCUACAAUAUUCUUUAAAAAUUGGAAACUUAUGUAGUCCAUUAAUCUUAUUUAUCUAAUUUUGCUUCUAUCUUUCUGUCAACAUAGAGAACAUCAGGUCUUAUGAGACAAUUUAUGACUUUUUAUUUUCAUUCACUUGGUGGUGGUGGAUUUUUUUUUGGGUUAGAUCUGUUUUUUCCCUCUUGAUCUGUAAAGAAGUUUUUUUUUCGGUCUGUGUCUUGCAAUUCCUGUAUGCUUUUGAUUUUUUGAUUUGCAAAGUUGUUGAAUGCUCAUGCUUGUGGUCGCUGGUUUAUUUUUCUGCUUUUGCUUUUGGUGUGCAUUUCUUUCUGCCAUUGUUUUCCUGAUUUGGUUAUUUUUGUUCGUUAGCCAUGUACCUACCUACAUUUGUAAAGUAGACCCUCCAAAAUUUUUUGGUGAUUAUAGAAUGCUGUAAGAAUAUCUCUACAUCAGUGAUUAAUAUGCUUCUUCAUUAUGUAAAUGGCGACUUGGCAUUAUUGCUUGUUCUUUUUUAAUUAACCAGAUUCUCAUGAAACUCUCGCUUGCUCUGCCUUGAGUUCAUAUAAUUGUAUUCCUCGUGAAUUGAUUUUUAUUCUCAGGUAUGAAGGUGCACAAUCUGCAGAAGCCUUGCUCAGUUUGUGAACAGUGAAGAAGGUAAUGUUAUUGGUUAGCUGGCUUGAAUUUUGUGGUCCAUAAGUGUAAUCCAUGUUAACAAGUUUGAUAGAUUUACGUUAAACUAUAUUUUGGUAAAAGUGUUGAAUAAUCCAUGAAGUUGUUAAAAUCCAAUCCAUAUUACUUAUGAAGAUUAGAAAUUUACUUCACCUUAAGAUAUCACAACGAAGAAUUGUGCUGUGAUAUCUUAAGGGGCAAAAGAUCAAUCUUUUUUUUUUAAAAUGUUUUCUAUAUUGGUUAAAAUCUACAAUGGAUUAUUUCAAGUUGUGAUAGCACUGAAGGCUACAAUUAAGAAACAGGUUAGUUAUUAAUUUGCUUCUUAUGUGGUUUUUUUUUGUUUUGCCUCAGUAGUCUAUAACUAACCCUCACUAUUUCUUUAUUUCUUUCUUCUAUUUCAAUUUUUCCCUUACCGAAAGGUCUAUCUACAAUGGAUUAUUUCAGGUUAUGAUAGCACUGAAGGCUACGAUUAAAAGACAGGUUAGUUUUUAAUUUGCUUCUCAUGUGGUUUUAAUUCUGUUUUUGGGCUCUGUAGUCUAUUACUAACCCAGAAUUGCUACCAGUGAUGACAAAGAAACUAUUCAGCAUAAUUUUAAGGAUGGCCAAAGUAGCCAGCUUAAAAAGUUGUAUGAAUUUGGCCUUAUUCUUGUAACUGCGAUUAAAUAUUAGCACCUUAGCCAUGUGGUUUUCUUGUUUUAUUCUUUAUUGUUUGUUUCACGUGACAGGUACACCUUGAUUACCAUGAAGUUGGUGCUAAUAUCAUAAUAUCUGUAUCAUAUCAGGUUAUAUGGCUGUCUUUUUUAAUUUUUCCAAGCCUUCCUAAGGAUCUUGUUUAAUUAUUAUUGAAAGAAUUUUUCACGAAGUUGAGGACUCUUGAUUUUUCUUGUUUGGAAGACAGGCCACUCUUCAAGGAUUUGUAGCUAAAGGGAUAUCAAGAGAAGAAGGUGAAGCUUUACUCAGGAAAAUUGUUGAAAUAGCAUGUGAUGUACGGGAUAUAUAUUAUUAUAAAGCCAGCAAAGGUUCUUGGGAUGUUAUUGGAGAUCCAAAAGCUUUAAACGUCCACUCCUUGUUGCUGCUUCUGUUGGAGGCUAUGGAGCUAAUCUUGCUGAUGGUUCUGAAUAUAGGUGAAUCUUUUAAUUCUUUUCUUACAUUGGAAGCAGAGUAGUAUUUCAGUGCCCAAAUACUGACUUGAAAUAUUUGAACUUGUGCUAGAAACUUUUCCUCUCGAGCACUUGUGAUAUUCUCAUGCAUUGCAGUGGCAUAUAUGGGGAUACAGUGACUCUGGAGACUUUGAAAGAUUUCCAUAGAAGAAGAGUUCAAGUUCUUGCCGACUCUGGUGCUGACCUGCUUGCAUUUGAGACAAUUUCAAACAAAUUGGAUGCUAUGGUAUUGUUUUUUGAGUUGUGACUAUCUCAGUGUACCUCAAACAUUUCUUUUGCUAGAGCAAUUUAGAUGUUUUACUGUCUAUUUUGCCUGAUUGCUUCUUGAUAUAGGAAUAUACUGAGAUUCUUGAGAAAGAAAACAUAAAAGUUCCGACCUGGUUUUCUUUCAAUUCUAAGGAUGGGAUCAAUGUAGUUAGUGGGGGUCCUAUAUCAAAUUGUACUGCAAUUGCUGAUUUAUGUGAUCGAGUUGUUGCUGUUGGAAUCAACUGUACUGCUCCUAGACAUAUUGAUGGACUUGUCCAAUCAAUCAAGAUGGUAUAACCAAUUCUAGGAUGCAUUUGAAAUGAAUGAAAUUGAAAACGAUAAUCAAAUUUAAUUAGGAACAUUGGUUUUAAUUCUCUCGAGAAAUCUAGAUAAGUUAUUGUCAUGUCUUAGUUCUAAUUGCAGUCUUUUAAUCACAAGAUCCCCUUUUUUUUUGUUUCUAAUAAUUCUCAUUAGAGAAACCAAUUCUGGGUCAUGAUUAUUAGAUGUAUCUCCAUUGCAUCAAUAAAUUAGAAAUCAGAAAAUCUUGUAUGUCCAUUUAUGUACAUGGAACUUGUUGCUUUACUUGCUAAUAUUUCUGUAAGUCACUACUAAACCGAUCCUGAUAUAUCAGCGUUUUCCUUUUUCUCUUUCCACAGUCUUCCCAAGUUAGAAGCUCAAUUGAAAAAAAGAAAGGAAAAAACCAGAAACCAUCCAUUUAUAUAUAUAUAUCUAAGUAUAAAACUAUGAAGUAAAGUACAUCUUUAAACAGAUGUACCAACAUUUCAGCUGUGUGUGAAGUGAAGAUCAUCCUAACAACAUUAGUUAUUCUAAGCAUAAAUAAAACUAUGAGUAUGUUUGUUGAUACUUUUAGUUGGCUGAUUUCAACCACCGAAGAAAGGAAAAUGUUGUCUUAUUAGGAUUUUAUGGUUCUUAAGGUAUUUACACUUGCUAAAUUGCUAUUGGGCAGUUUCCUUGAAUUUCUUGUUGGAUUGUGGAUCUAUUUGCACGAAUGUUUUCAAGUCACUUAUUCUUAGGGUGAGGAUUACUGAUCAAACUUUUGUUUGCUUGUACUUGUCAAAUUAGAUAAUGGGGAAAGUGAAUAAAGAGAGGCUGGGAGAAUUCCUUGGGGAGUUGCAGAGGAAAGAGCAUACAAAUGACAGGUAUGUUGCUGUUCUGAGAGGGGAAACGUUGAUUAGAAACCCAUUUGUGAGAAUGCAACCUUUCCCAGACCAAAGCACAACUGAAGUUAGCAAGGCAUAGGAGUAGAUAAUGAGACUGCUGUUGGCAGACUUUUGUACCCAGAACUUUUUUCUAUUUUUUUCUCCCUUUUCACUACCAUUGUAGAGCACACUAUUAUGAAUGUCUAACGGUGACUUUUGAUUUACUGAUUCUUUAUCAUAAUGGGAUCACCAAAACUGAAGCUUAGCUUGUAUAUAUUUGUGUUUUAUAAAAAGGACAAAUAUUAGAUGGUACAAGGACAAAUAUUGUAAAAGGACAAAUAUUAGCUUGCAUACAUUUGCACUAUUAUGAAAAGGACGGGCUCGUCUUCUGUACCGGUAGCCGCUCUGAGGAAAUCACCGAGAAAACUAGUGGCCAUACAAAUCUUCAAGAGGAAAGGCAUAGAAAAUUUUGCUCCUGGUGUUUUAGCUUCAGAAUUUAUUUUUAGUCAGUUUAUGUAAACUAGGAAAGUGUAUCACCGCAUGGUGAUUAUUGAUUUUUAUAUUGUUAGCUGAAAUUUGUAUCCAUCUCUUCGUGAUUUUCCUAUUUUUGGAACGUUUGAGUUCUCAUACGAAUUAGGAAGAUUUGAGAUAUGAUCUACAUUAAAAGUCCAAAAAUUAUAUUAAUAUAAAUGUUUUCACUAUUUUGAGAGCAUAUUCAUUUUGGAUUAAGUACAAAUCAUUUUACUAAACUGGGCAUGUUCAUCUUUUUUACCUCAGCGCACAGCGCGGUUUAUGCCUCCUAGUCAAAAACAAGAUUGCCAAGGGUAAAAUUAUUGUUCCUCCUAAGAAUUGAGUUGAGAAAUAGGACUUAGCAGCUGCUGGAGCUGGACUACAAAAGCUAAAAUAAGAUACAGACUGCAUCUAGACCAUUGCCUUGAGAGGCCACUUAAUUUGUCAUAAUCUGAAUUAAUUAGUUCUCAAGUUUGAGGUCUAUGUUUUAUAUGAUUAUUUCUUGCCAACUUGUUCGCGUCUUUGAGAUCCGUGCGUAGUAUUAUUUCUCGCCCAUAUUAGUUUUUAUCAUAUGUUUAUUUGAUAAUUUUCCUUUUCUAUAGAAGAAAAUUCAAACAUAGACAGAAUUGGAAAGUGUUCUUUGAAUUUUUUUCCUCCGCAUUGCGAUAUUUGUUUUUGUUCCUCCGGUGUCCGGUCUACAUGGGUUUGAUGCUGGUCUGCACUCCUGACAGCUCCAGUGGUUCCCCCUCACAACCUCGAAAACAUGAAAAUCAUGCCCUUUUUUUGCGUUGCUCCUCUUUUGCAUCUCUACAAAACAUUUGUCUUUUACUACCACUUUAUUUGGAGGUCUUCCAAGGCUGACAUUAUUGAUGCACUAAAUCAAUAUUAUGCAUUCACACUACUGUUAUCCAUAGGCCCUCAGUGUCUCUGUCUCUGUCUCUGUCUGUUAUUGAAGCAAGAAAAGGGUUUGAAAAGAAGCAAAAUAACAGGAGUAAGGGGAGAAAGAUAUUGCCUGAGAACUCGGAUUUCCAACAUAAAUUUACGUAUGUAUAUGCAUUCCAAGUGUCCCAUUAUUUGUUCAACCUUCAAAAUUACUCUCUUGACCUCUUCUUCCUUUCAAGAUCUCCUCAGUCCUCACCUACGAAAAAUGAUUCUUUGUUAGUACUCCAACUUUCAAGUCUACUUAAAUUGAGUGAGCUUACUCACACUCUAAAAAUGUAGACGCGUGCAAAAUUUGAACUAUGCUACGUAUGUCAACCGAUAUUAAUCUAUAAACGAGUUUACCUAGAUCUUUCUUAGCAUUAAUUUCCACAUAUUUAAUUGAACUUAUAGAUCAAAUUACCCAAAUAUUUAGUUGCUUUUAACCCCUAAAUACAUAAGCGAAAAUCAUUGAAGAUCAGAGUUUUGCUAUGUCUACCAUCUUAUAAUUGAUUUAUGUUAAUUAUAAAAUUGCAGUGAAAGAAUUUUGAUUCGUUUUGAUUCAUCAAGUUUUGUCUGCACAAAAAAAUUAAUGCAUUAUAAAAGUAUUUAUCAAUCAUUUGUGUAUUUUUUUUAACUCUUUUUUUGAUUUCACAUACAUCAAAUUACAAAAAAAUUAUUUUAAAAAAAUCCCAAAUAAACUUUUGGUUUUAUAAAUUGAGCAUAGAGUAUGAAUAUCAGGCCAUGCAACAUGUUAUUCACGGUACCCCACAAGCGCACCAACGACUUUAUUUCAAAGUUCAAACUUCAAACGUCUCUCUCCUCUCUCUUUCUUUCUGACUGCAUAUCCAUGCACUGCAAGUGCAUCCUUUCUUCCUUGGUUAUCAAAUUUUACCGCCUGAGCUGAACCCUCUCUUGUAUCAAGAACAAUUGUCCCAUGCAUCUGUAAAUGCCACUCAAUGCCCUCAACCUAAGGCCUUUUCUCUUCACUUUUUAUGCGGGUUUGUGGGCAGUGACGGAGCCAGGAUUUUUUCCUUGGGGGGGGGGGGGCCAAAAUUUUUUCAAUCAAAAUUAUCUUAAUAUGUUAUGUUCAAACUAAUUUUCAUUUAUUUAAAUAUAUGACAUCUUAAAAUAUCAAAAUUUAAUUUUAAUUAUAAAGGUAUGUCUAUUUCAUAAAUAUGUAGCAUAGUAAGAACUAAAAUUAAGAUAAGAAAUAAAAUUUGAUUAAAUAUCUUAUAAUAUUACAAACCACUUAAGUUGUACAUUAUGAGAAGAUGCUCCAAUAUGUCACCUGUGCAAAAACAAAAAUAUAACUAUGUAAUAUAAAUAUAAUUAUUUUCAAUUAAAAAAAAGAUAAAAGUUAUGUUAAUAUACCUUGAAAUUUCAUCCUCUUUUAUUAAAAGUAAAUUGAGAUUUACGUUCUUUCAUAGAACUAAAUUCAUCUAUAAUUGAAUCGGUGUUAAAUUUUGAUCAUCCUUUUUUUUUUUUAUGUACAUUGUUAGACAAUCAUUCAAGAAAUUAUCUUUUAUCUUGUUUUGAUUAUAUUCACAAUUGAAAAUGUACGUUCUAUAGUUGCAGUUAAUACAGAAAGAGUGAGAACAAAUACAAUCAAUCUGUCAAUAAUAGGAUGUGUCACUCAAUUUCUUGUUUUCAUCAACCUUUCAAGUAACUAUUUGUAUAUUUGUAUAUGAGUCAACAAGAGGAUAGAUCACUAAUUUUAAAUUUUUUAUCAAUUAGGCUAAGGUGUAUAUUUGUAUAUGGACCAAUAAAGUAAUUAUUUUUAUUUUAGCCCAUUGAUAAUUAUGAAUUGAGUCUUUCAUUAUAAUACAUCAAAUUGGGUCAAUUUACUAUGGAUUAUCAAAUUAUAUGUUUAAUUUUUUGAAUGUUAAAUAAUUAGUAAAAUAAAAAAUAAAUAACUUUUUUUUGAAGAAAAAAUUAAAUCAAAAGAUGGCUAAUUCAUAUAUACACACAAAAAAAUAUAUAUAUAUAUAUAUAUAUAAACUCUCAUAAUAUAAACUAAAAUGAUAAAAAAUUAGGGAAACCAACUUUAACUUAUACAUAUAUUUACAUAUUAUGAAUUAAAAUUUUCAAAACUUAGGGGCAUGGCCUCCCUCUGCCCCCUUGGCUCCAUCAUUGUUUGCGGGGAGACUUCUAAAUCUUUUCCUGUUCUUUCUACUUUUUUAUUUCUUUAGGUGCAUAAAAGCAGUAACAAGUGUCAAAAAUUUGAUGAACAUUCUUCCCUUUGUCACUUCCUUCAUCCACAACUAGAAGAGCAACAUAUUCACGGUUUGAUUCUGAUUUAUGUCCUUUGUAGUUCGUUCUUGAUACCGCAUGUUCGUUGAUGUUUAUGACCAGGUUCGUUCGGGUUUAUUUUGUUUCUUUUAAUUGCUGAAGAAAGGGGUAAUAUUGAAGUUUGAGAACAGUACAUUUCAGAUUCUGGGUGUCUGUUGUGAUUUCUUGGAUGCCCUUUCUGGGAGCUGAUUAUCCAGCUUAAUUUCUCUGGUGUUAUUUGACGAGAUCUAACAUGUUCAAUGCAUGACUCUGUGGAUUAAAUCUUUGCAAAGUAUAGCAUGUUUAGUGUCUCCUGUAAUCUUCAGAUCUUGCUACUCUGAUCAAUGAUUAUGCUUUUCAAUCUGUUUGAGAAGUGUCUUUGCGCUCAAUAUUGGUAGUAGUAGCAGUUGUUGGUUUUUGUUUUUUUUUUUUUGUGGUGUUCCCUUCAAGCAGUGGUUUUGUACUUGGUUAUUUGCUAUUCACCAUGUGCUUCUUUUACCAUUUUUGUGAAUUUGUUGUACAAGCUCAUCACAUGCCAGAGCCCAGAGUGAAAAAUCUAUAAAACUUUGGCAUGAACAUUCAUACUUCUACAUAGUGAAAAAUCUUUAAUUUUGGUAUGAAGACAACAUAGACCAGCUUACGCACGACUUUUGAUCACAUUGAUAUGCGCAUCUUGGUGAGCAUACACAUUUCUUUUCCUUUUUUCCACCCUCUUGGUCAUAUCUUAUACUUGGUUAUGCACAGACCCUUCCGCAAUAUAUAACACCGGGAUUACAUGAAGCCAAAACUCCAACAAUCAAUCUCGCUAGUGGACACCGAACAUAUUUUCUUGGAAUGACUGCGGCCAAAUUUGAUCAAAACUGGACCACAUUCGUUGCAGACCAUGAAUUUCGAAAUGGCGAAGUUGUUCUCUUCAUGCCCCAAUCCAAAUCCUGUUUUUCCAUCAUCAUCUUCGAUCGGAAAGGGAAUGAAAGAAUGUAUCCAUGGCACUAUAAUUUUAAUAUUUAGCCUCAUGUUCUUUCCGUUUUAAGUUCAUUUUGUUUCUUUCUCAGACGUUGAAGGACUAUGCUUUAAUCAGCUUUGUACCUUGUUUUACACCUUUACUGCUAACUCUGUUUUCCUUGUGCUUCUUUAUAUUGCCUUUCUUACACUAUACGUUCAGUCUCUUCAUGCAGCGUUCCUGCUCAUGAUACUGCGCUGGGCAUUAACACUUUUAUUCCUACCGCGCAGCGCGCGGUUCUUGCCUCCUAGUACAUGGAGAAGGGCAUCUCCUAGUAUCUGGAAUUGGUUGUGUUUCAUUUUUGGUUUGGUUAUGCCUUGAGUAAGAUUUCUACUAGGAUCCUCGUUCAGAACAACAUAUACUUAGUUUGUACUACAAUCAUCAUCAUCACAGGUAAAGGAGGAAGCAUGGGGGCAUUUUUGAUUGAUUAUUUUUUCACUCUUAUUGAUGAAUGUGUUAAUAUAUCUUGCCCUGUUUUGGUAACUAUGCUUAUACAUAGGUUAAUGUGAAUUUAGCCUUUUCAUCUUGAAUAUUCCAUUUUUCCUGGAAAAUUGGAUUGCGAUUUAUUUGCUGACUUCUAUCUUCUCAUUUCUUCACUUGCAGGGGCCCCCUUCCAAUUCAAAACAUUGUUUGUAGAUCAGUGUUUCGAUAUUGGCCUCCGUCCAAAGUUUCUGACACUAUGUGUGACUCGCCUCUGACUAGGACUGCUGUUGCAUUUUCUUGACUGGUUUAUCCGGAAAGACUUUGCUGUACAGACUCCCACACUAGGAAAGAUUGCUGUUACAGUUUUAUGACUCCAGCACUUCGAUUCAGAGACAGGGUCCCAAAACUUGUUUCUUCCUUUUGAUCUUCUUUUACCAAUCAUUCAUUCGUCUUUGGGCUGUUCACCGGCUGCAGUGAAUACUUAAUCUCCCUGGUGUUAUGGCUUUGAACGUCCGAAACUGUUGUGUGGGUGGAUAAUCUCACCCAUCCUAUGAUCAUUAUUGCCGUUAGACAAUACAUUGGCUGGUUCUUUGUUCCAUUUAAAGGGGAAGGAAAAAAAAAAAAAAAAAGAGGUUGUCUUCUUGCUCUCUCCCCUUUUCCCCCAAAAAAAAAAAAAAAAAAAAAAAAAAAGAAGGGACCUUCAAUUUUUAGUUUAGUGUUAUUGUAGUUUUUUUUUUUGGGCUUUUUGUGGUACCAAGUGUUAUUCUCUUAUUCGAGUGCUGCUAGUUUUGACUUGUACCAAAAAGGACUUGUACCAAAAAGGUGAAAAACAGACGAGGCUAUGAAUUAUGAUCUAGCUGACUUGAGGUUCGAUUUUCUUUAUGAAGCAGCAUCGGAAGCGGUUUUCCAUUCAAAGCAAAUACCCAACAAUCUUGAAUUGUUCAUUUCUGCUCCUUUAUGACCGACUAAAAUGGAAUGAUAAUUGAGUAGAGAACAAAGAAACUGUCAAGUGCUGAACGCUUGAACUAGCAGGGCUAAUUGAAGAUCAAGCAUCCAGUAAUAGUAAUAAUAGUAAUAAUAAUAUAGUAAUAGUAAUAGUAAUAGUAAUAAUAGUAAUUGGAUAUAUAAACAAGUUAAUAUCCUAUUUUUUUUAAAAAAAAAAAAGCAGGGCCGGAAGGAAAAAGUAGAUCAAUUGUAGGUAUGAUAUAUACCUGGUAGGGUAGGUAUGAAAAAGGAGGGCCGGAAGGAAAAAGGGGGAAGACAUAAAUUUCAAGAAAAUUAUGUACAUUGAGAUAUGAAGAGAUAGUACCUGAACGGAAAGAGAGGGAAAACGCAUGGAGGGAGAAGGGAACGUCCGCAUGUGCCCCGGGACUGAGUAAAUAUGGCAAUAGGGCUGAAAAUGGAAUAAAAAUUAGAAUAAAACUGAAGUCUGCUGAGGAACCGUCUGUUUGCAGAAUGGCAUAUUCCUUUUUACUUUUGACAGCAAUCCUUUUCUCCUGAGUCCUACCCCAGCCGGGCCACUGAGAUGCCAAGAAAAUUGACUUGCUAAAACAAUUGGGGGUUUUAAUAUGUUUGCACAAAAUAAAAGAAGUGAUUGGACAAGGGAGAAAUUCGGCAAAUUUCUGUAAAUAAUAAUAAUGUUAGGAUAGAAAAUAUCUCAAAAGUAGGGUCAUUUGGAGUGUGUUAAAUGCGCGACCAUGUAAUAUUCUUUUUUAUUUAAUGUGUCAUAUGCAAAUUGUGUUUCUCCACUUAAGAUCACCCUACUUGGCAAAUUUCUGUAAAUAAUAUUAGAGAAAAAAUGCAGUUUUGGUAUCUAAAUUUUGACACAUGAGCGGUUUUAGUCCCCAAAUUUAGGACGAAAACAAAUCUGGUACCCGAACUUUUAAAUUUUGAGCACAUUUAGUACCCUUGACAAUUUUUUCCCAAAUUGCUACCGAAAAAAAGUCAUGUAACAGUCACAUGUCCGGCCACUAUUGUAUAAAAAAUAUCAAAAAAAUGUCAAAUGCCAUUCUAAUACUAAGUAUUAAGUUUAAGAACUAAUAAUGUAAUAAAAAAAACCUAUGGACUAAAUAACAUCACAUGAGUCAUUUAAAAAACAAAAGAAGAAGGAAGCGAUGUAAAACUCUGCCAAACUCAUUUAUAGGUUUCUUCUCAAAUGAAGAAACAAAUGUAUUCUACUAAUGUCGAAAACCAACAUAAAGGUGACAAAUAGAUAGUGGUGGGCCAUAUGAGCCAAGCAAGCAAACCUUUUAACCGGUUGAGACAGGGGUAUGUUACUGGCAAAAAAAAUUGUUGUGGGACCUCUCAGAAUUAAUAAUGUAUUCAGUAAGACCUUCUCUUGGCGCCAAAGAAAUGCAAUGGCACGAAAUGCAAUUGCGUGAAAUACUUCUGACGAUUAAGAUAUUUCCAAAUGGCUCGCGUGCCAAUGGUCAGGAGGGAUAUUUGUAAUAAAAACUUGGGCGUUAUUUGAUAGUUUUUGGAUGCCUAAAAGGCGUGAUCUAUCAUUUUGGCAAAUGGUGUGCUUUAAUUUUGUCAAAACCACACACUUUUAAGUUAUUAUGAUUAAUUGACGUAGGUGAGAUCAUAUUAGUAACUUUAAUCAACUAUGUUCGACUUAGUUGACCAUGAACAAUCAUAUAAAUAGUCCUUAUUAACAGUUGUAUAAAUAGGCAUAAAUAGUUAUAAUCGUUGGAAUCCACUAUCUGAUUAAUGGCUAUUAUGAGUUAUUAUCUUCUUAGUCCAAAAACAAAUUGAAAGAUAACAAUGAUCCAUAUCUACCACCAUCUUAUGAGCUAGCAUCAAGGAAUCGACAAUUAGAUUAGACCCUUAAUUAGUUAUAAUCGUCGGAAUUGACAAUUCAAUUUAAUUGUUAUAAUGAGUUGUUAUCAUCUUAACCCAUGGAGGAAUUGGGGAAUUCAUAGCAAGAUGAUCCAUAUUUACAACCAUCUACUUAUGAGUUAGCACCAAGGAAUCUAUAAUCAAAUUAGAGACUCAAUUAGUUAUAAUUAUCGGAAUCGACUAUCUGAUUAAUCGCUAUAAUCAACUAUUAUCGUCAUAGUGUUACAAUGCAUUAGAAAAUGCAUAACGGAAUGAUCCAUAUCUAUUACCGUUUUCUUAUGAACUAGCAACAAAGAAUCGACUAUCGGAUUGAACGCAUAAUUAUGUGGUAUUUGGUAAAAGGAUUUCGGUAUAGAGAAUUGGAAUAAACCUCAUAAUCAUUGUUUGGAUUACUAUUAUCGGAAUUGAAAUUUUGGAAUUAUAUAUAAAAAUGCAAUGGCAUUUCCCAAUUCCCUAGUAACUUGGAAGGUUUUGGAUAAAAGCCAAGUUUGAUUCCCUUUUAGAAACGGGGCUCGUCCCGCUACUCGUUAAAAAAAUUAACAUAUAAUAAUAAAUAUAAAUGUAAUUAUAUUUAUAAUUAUUAUAUACACAUAUAAUAUAUUAUAUAAAUAUAUAUUAUAAAUUUAUUAAUAUUAAAUAAUAAUAUAUUUAUAUUAUUUAAUUAAAUUCAUAAGGAGAGGAAUUAUCAUCUUAGGAGGUUUAAUCUUUAUUGCCUUAUUUUCUUUCAUCUUAGGAGUUUUAAUCUUUAUUACCUUAUUUUGUUUACAUGUAUAUUAGUACUGGUAUUCGUUUCAUUGAAUGUGAGUUAGUAAUAGUACUACUUUUCAUUACACGUGUACCGUGUACUUAUAGCUGUCAAAAUGGGUGAUUUGGACGGAUUUGGGUUAGGUAAAAUGGGUAAUGGGUAUAAAUGAAUCAACCCAUUGAUACCAAUUUAAUUAGAUGGGUAUAAAUGGGUAAGUCAAAAAAUGAAUUGGAUAACCCAAUUAUCCAUUUAUAACCCAUUUAUUUUAACUUAUUGUAAAUUCAUUUAAAUUCAUUUUUGCAAACUAAGUUAUCAAUUUAUACCAUCAUUUACACCCAUCAUUAGUUUAAAAUAUUUAUUUAUAAUACUCAAUAAACCUAAUUAUCAAUUUUUUCCAUAUGUACUAUACGUCGCAAAAUUACAUACUAUUUAAUAAUUAAACAAUAAGAAUAUAAAAAUUUGAACUAAAUACUAUAAAAGUUAACAUAAAAACUUAAUCCAAAAAUUUUGAACCUCUAGCAUUUUUUUGUGUAUAAAUUUAAAUUUUCAUUUUGGAAAAAUAAGAAAAGAGACUAAAACUUGUCAUAAAUUGAUAAUGGUGAAAAAUAAGCAAGUUAAUGGGUGGGGGAAGAGAGGAGGUUUGGGAUAAAAUAAUUCUAAAUAGGCUAAUUGGGUUUGAUGGGUUACCCAAUAAUACCCAAUUAUUUAAAUGGGUAUUAUUGGGUAAUCCAUUUAUACCCAUAUGCAAAAAUUGUACAUACCCAUACCCAUACCCAUUUAAGUACAAUCAAAUUUUUGUACUCUCAUCAGCCAUAACUGAACGGGUUUAUUUGAAAUAUAGCAGGGAUAAACACUUGGAAGAGGCCCUAACGUGAAGAAUGACUGAUGGGCUACGUUAUUUAACAUAUAGCAGGGAUAACUAAUUUCAGCAGGGAUAAACACGAUGAGUAAAGUAUGACUGAUGGGCAUGAAAAUUAAAUGGAAGAAGAAAACUAUCUAUUUCCUCCACCAAACAAAUUAGUAUGGCUGAUGCAUAAUUUAUUUAAAUUUUGAGAAAUACACCGUUUGGAAUGGAGGGGAAAAAAUACACAGUUUGGAAUCACAAUAAAUGGACUGUCAUGAGUGCCUAACUUCCAUUUGGUAUUCAAAUACUAACAAUUGGUAUUUAAAAAAUGCACUCUAUUUUAUCCAAUCAGAAUAAAUCCUUAUACUUUUUUAUUUUUAUUUGUUAUUAAUAUACUCAAUUUUUGGUAAUAAAAAGUAAGACAACAAAAAGGUAAAUUUGAAAUUAUAUUUUUUAAUAUACUCAAAAUGAAUUUUUUAAUAUUAUAUUUUAAAAUGAGCUGUAAAUAAACAAAUAGUUUAAAGUAAGGGGGCAAGUGAGUUUCAGACCCAAAAAAAAAAAUAGAGGCAAGUGAGAUUUUUCAAUAUUUGUGAGUGCCAAGUAAAAUUGUUAGAAACCUCCGGGGAGGUUUAUGAAAUUAUUCCAAACAAAAAUUAAGAAUGAAUAAGUUGUUUUUUAUAAUGGUUCUAAAGGUUCCUUGAGACUUUAUAAAUUAGAUGUCUUGAGUUUGCAAAAACAAUUUCUUGCAUAUCUUUGUAGUGGAAACGGAGUUUAAACUUGCUAUAGGUUAGUUUCUUGUUUUCCAUUGUAUCCUAAAAGGGUAAUUUGGCAUUCAACCUAAUUUUAUUCUCAUUUUAUCCAACUAAUAAAUUAGCUUAUGAAAAAAAUGGGAAAAUGGAUAAUUUAUGGAGAAAAGUCAUAAAGAGCUGGUGUUUUAUUGGAAAACGGGUUUAUUUUUAUUUAGUCGAUAAAUAAAUUUAUUUAUGGAAAAAUGGGUACUCUAUUCUUAUAAUGGAGGAAAGCCAUAAAGAGCUGUUGUUUUAUUGGAAAAUGGUUUUAUUUUUAUUUUAUCAGAUAAAUAAAUUUGUUUAUGGGAAAUGGGUACUCUGUUUUUAUAAUGGAGGAAAGCUAUAAAAAGUUGGUCUUUUAUUAGAUAACGGGUUUAUUUUUAUUUUAUCUGAUAAAUAAAUUUGUUUAUGAAAAAAUGGGUACUCUGUUUACUCUGUUCUUAUAAUGGAGGAAAGUCAUAAAGAGUUGGUCUUUUAUUAAAAAAUGGGUUUAUUUUUAUUUUAUCCGAUAAAUAAAUUUAUUUAUGGGAAAAUGGGUACUCUGUUCUUAUCAUGGAGGAACGGGUUUAUUUUUAUUUUAUUCGAUAAAUAAAUUUAUUUAUGAAAAAAUGGGUACUCUGUUUUUAUAAUGGAGGAAAGCCAUAAAGAGCUGGUCGUUUAUGGAAAAGUGAUACUUUACAGAAAGUGAUCGUGAUUUGGUUUAUGAAAUUAUCCAAAAAAAAAAAUUAGAAUGAAUUUAUUUAUUUUGAAAGUUGUAUAAUGAUCGUUAAAUUUCAAAUAUCCAUUCCUUAAACUUCAAAAUCAUCUCCACACAAUCACAAACUCCUAACCUUCCAUCUCUCUCCCUUCCUUAGAGUAAAAUUUCUAGUGAAUAAAUGGGUUUAAUAUGUAAUACCUGUGUUUCCAUUAAUUACUAUUUAUUUUUGGCUUUCCUCCAUAAACUGCUCAUUUUUCCCUUUUUCUAUGAAUUACUAGUUCUUUAUAUCACUCCUCCACGAAUUAUUUAUUUAAUUCAUGUUGCUAUUUUUCUUGGUCCGGUUUCGCGCUUCUUCAUUUUAUAUGUCUACAGUGACAAAUGGUGUCGGGUUGGGCAGCCCUACGUGUUCUUAUAUGUUAAAUUCAUUUUUUACCCUUCAAACAAUGUAUCAUUUUCUUUAGUUGGUCAAAUGAAAGCUUUUACUUCUACAACGGUAUCCAACCACUACAUCUGAAAUCGUGCCACUUCUUCUAAGUACAAUCCAACGGCUAUAUUGCACACAAGUCCAUCUUGUGGUUGAGAUUAAAUUUCUGCCACAACAGACAUCAGAAUUAUUUCUGUGCUGUAGACGCAUCCCUCAUUUAUAUAUGUAUUCCAUCUCUCUCUCUCUCUCCAAAAGAAAACCUAAGAACCAAACUUUAACAAAAAUUCAAGUUGGGUAUGGCGUGAUCCAGCAUAUGUCGAAGACAUCAAUUUCUUAUUCCCGGUUCGUCAAGAAGCAUGAAUGUAAUAGAUUCUACUUUCAAAAGGCUAGAAUCAAGACAAUGAAGACUGAUCUUGAUAAUUGUGCUCUUAUAGUUGCUUUUGUUCUUGGUGGUAAUCAACUGACUCAUGUGAUGUUAUUUAGUCCUUAGGUUUUUUUUAAUUACAUUAUUAGUCCUUAAACUUAAUACUUAGUAUUAGAGUGGCAUUUGACAUUUUUUUGACAUUUUUUAUACAAUAAUGGCCGGAGAUGUGACUGUCACAUGACCUUUUCCGGUCGCAAUUUGAAAAAAAAAUCGUCAAGGGUAUUAAAUGUGUUCAAAAUUUGAAAGUUUGGGUACCAGAUUUGUUUUUGUCCAAAAUUUAGGGACUAAAACCGCUCAUGUGUCAAAGUUUGGAUACCGAAACUGCAUUUUUCUCAUAAUAUUAGGUUGGAAAAAAAAUCACAACAGUUGGGUGAUUUUGGGAGUGUUUCUCCACUUAAAACUGUAUGUGGUAAAUGUAGCAAAUUUUGGCAAAUAAAAUAAUGUUAGGUUAGAAAAAAAAAAAUACAAAAAGUGGGGUGAUUUGGAGCAUAUUCUUUUUUUUUUUAAUGUGUAUCAGAUGUAAUUUAUUUUUUUAACAAAUAAAUUUUUAAGUAGUUAAUCGCCGCACAGCAAAUUUUUUUAAUGUGUCAGUCGUUGCAUGCGACGACACAAAGAAAGAUUUUUUUUAAUUACUAGUUAGUCACCGGUGACUGACUAGAAGAAUAUUUUUUAAAAAAAAUUUUGUACCAAAUGCUAGUAUGAGGGCCUCUUUUUGCAUGCAUCGACGGAAUUAUGUUGAUGUUGUCAAUAUUUUAUGCUUCAACUGGUUUCCUUGCUUAAAAUUUAAAAUAGAUAAUAGUAGGUAUUACAACUGAAUUGACAAAUGCUAACCCUAAACCCAAUCGCAUUUUGAUAAUUAAGUAGUUAAUUUCCUUUUAAACUAAAGUCACUUGUGCCUUAAUCUUUACUCUAAGGGAUAAUUUGAGAAGCCUCUCAUAAGGUUUUUGAUAGUUUCAUUUGGUAUUCUCGAAUUUUGAAAAAUCUUACUUGCCUCUCUUACUUUAAUGUAUUUGUAUCACUUUUAAAAUAUGAUAUAAAAAUUCAUUUUAGGAGAGCAAAUACAAUCUUAUUCCAAUUUUGCCCUCUUGUUGUCUUAGUUGUUACUACCAAAAUAUAAGAAUAUUAAUCACAAAUAAAAAUAAAAAUAAAAAUUAUGAAGGAAUAUUUUGAUUGGAAAAAAUAAUAUGUUUUUAAAUGCCAAGAAUUAAUAUUCGAAAGUUUAUUUGAAGUUUUUGCAAGUUACAAACAAAAUAUUUUCUUUAUUGUAAAGUGUUUUAAGUUAAUUUAAGAAAUUUUAUAAAUUGUUUACAUAUUUUUGAAUUUUUGAAUUUUUUUUGUCCAAAUAGAUUGCUUGAAAACUAAAAAGAUAAACAUGCUACAUAUAUAUAUAUAUAUAUAUAUAUAUAUAUAUAUAUAUAUAUAUAUAUAUAUAUAUAUAUAUAUAUGUUUGUAUUAUUUUUAAGAUGGGGCAAAAAGGUAUUCUCAUAAUUGUAAUAGUUUUAAAAGUAUUGAAAAUUAUUCAUAUUUUUAAAUAAUUUAAAAUUUAUGUUCGAAACCAAAGAUUUAAAAACUAUUAAAUAGUUUUUCGAUCUUGUUAACAACUUUUUAAAUUUCAUUAAAGAAAUACAUUGAUCAAUUUACAAAAAUUAAGUGAUAAAUUUGGUGUGUUAUAUCAAUUAAGAAAUCACAAGAAAAGGGCAAAUUUGAAAUUAAUUGUAUACUCUCUCCCUAAAUGAAUUUCUAAAUAUUAUAUUUUGAAAUAGGUUUCAAAUGUUACAAGAAAAGUUUAAAGUAGGGGAGCCAACUAAGUUUUUUUUAAAAAAAAAUUUUGAGGGUGCCAAAUAAGAUUGUCAAAAACGUUAGAAGAAGUUUCUGAAAUUAUCACUUAUUUUAAUCUAGCAUUCACAUCGACUAAUGCAUCACAUUUAUUCAUUGAUCAGAAAUAUUUAGAUGAACGCCGGUAGUUGUGAUUACUCCAUUAGAAAUCAAAUUCUCAAUACAUCACGUUAAAGGGACAACAUGGCCACUAUCUUGAUACAAGAAUAUUUCAUUCUAAUUCAACAUUUAUACAGCACUACAGAUUAAGCGCCUAGGCCCCUAACAAAUUAAUCCAACACAGGUGAGACAGUUGGGGAUAUGUUCCACCUCGAAACGUAGGCAGCCGCGGGAUCCAACGAGCUUCGCCAAAAACUACUAGAGGCCAACAUGGUGGUGUUGGCUUUCCACGUCUAGGGGUGGCAAUGGGGCGAGUGCCCGUGGGAGGACUAUUGGGGCGGGGAUUGGGGAAAGUUUGAAACAAAAAAAUAUAUAUAUAUUAUUAAUAAAAAUUAUUAAUUAAUUAUAUUAAAUAUAUUAAUACAUUUAUAUUAAAUUCCUAACUAAAUUUAAUACAAUAAUACUUUUUUUUUUCUAAAAAACACAAUAAUAAUUUAGUGAUUGUAUUUGUAUCAAAAGUAAAAAUUUGAUUAUUUUAGUUAUAUUUUUUUAUCAUAUUAGAUUGUAAUCAAAUAACCUUUGUUUAAUUAUUUUUUAUGAGUUUCGAUUGUGAAAUUACAAUGAAUAAUAAUUUGAUGAUAUGUUGAUAUUUUAAUACUUGAUUAUUUGCUCAAAUUUAAAUAUAAUGAAUUAUAUAAUAAAAAAAUUUUUAACACCUCGUGUGCCCGCACGGGGGAAGUGGCGGGGUGGCGGAAGUUGGGGACGAGGGUUAUUAAUAGUCCCCGACCCGACCCAUUGCCACCCCCACGUCGAGUUCAUUUUUCUAAGCCAGAUAUUCGAUUGGAGACAAAUAGGGGAUCAUAAAUUAAUGAGGAUGAGGUAGCCACAUCACAUUUAGCUACACCGUCUUAUGUGCAACCAUCUCCAUUUUCUACAUCCCAACAACCAUAUGGCGAGCAUCAUACGGUCUCAACUGGACUAUCAAGAUCAUUAGUGGCAUUUCCGAGCUUUAAUAGCGCUAAGGAACGAUCACAAGACGCUGCUCAAGAAAUUGAGGUGAAUACUGGAGUCAGUAAUGGCUCCAAAACUUCGCAAUUGGUGGAUAUUACUAUAGAAAUACAAAUUACACAAUUAACUAAUAGAGUGUGUCUAACCAACCCCCCCAUAGAACUAAUAGAGUGUGUAAACCUAAAGGAUGUGGGACUCCUGAAAAACUUGAAGGACAUAAAUGAUGCAUCAUUUUGUCUAUAGAACUAAACUGUGUACAUAGACCUUCAGAAGUAUGGCCCUUGGUUGCUAGGUGACUUGCUCUUCCUUUCCAUUAUACGGUGUUUUUGAUCUGGGCACAAUCCCAAACCAACUAAAUACACACCAAGUUCCCCGUUAGGUAUCACAUUAUUGACCAGUUCUUUUAGUAAUAUAAUAUUACAUUUUAUAAACCUUAAUCUAUCAAUGAUUGCUGAGAGAAUAAUUAGCUUUCAAAUAAAUCAAUGCAAAUAAUCAAAACAAGUACUUAUGGUACUUGUGUAAUUAGCGAAGUAAUGUGCCCUGCUAUGUAUAUUAAAUCUAUCAAAGGUAGUUCACCAGUAAAUGUCUUACCUUUUCAUGGGAAAGAAAGAAAUAUUUCCUAUACCUUUACAAGAGAGCACUAUUUUAAUGAUUUUCUAAGGAGCAGUCACGCCACAAUAGCAGGUGCAAUAUUUGAUUUUUAAGAUGGAAAAUUGGCAGUACUUUGGUUUUGAGAUCAACAUUAGUGUUACAUUACAAUUUUAAUCUAACAGAGAUAUUCUGUGAAAAUAUCUGGAGAAUAUUUCCACUACAGUUGAGUUUGUUAUUGAUUUUCUAAUAAACGAAUGAAUGUAUAGUAUGCCCUAAAUGCAUAUUUUCUUUCUUUUCUUCACCAUAUAGGAACCCACUCUAAAAUAACAAAUAAAAAUAAAUAACUAACUAUGUCAAUUUGGAAUCAAGUCAUUCAGCAGAAAUCAAAGUGAAAAUUUAAUGUACAUGAGUUUUUAUAAAAUGAGAAUUUAAUUGAAGUGCACCAUUGAUGUAUUAAUGGAGUUAUGCAAGAGUUCUCGCAUUUAUGGAAUGCGAGAUCCAUUAUGGAAUUGACCGAGUUCGCAUCCCUAAAUGCGAGGUCUAUUACCACAAAGUUUUUUAAUUCCAAAUUUUAAUAGACAUUGCAUUUUUCAAGAGUCAAGCUCUAUUUCCAUACAUUGUCUUUUAAAUUCAAAUUUUACAGAGUUAACAAUCAUUGAAUGUGAGGUUUGAGCUUCCUGAAGUUUAAAUUCUAAAAGACUUCGCAUUUAGUAAAUACAAAAUUAUUAAAGUUCGUAUUUACUAAAUGCAAGAUCUUAGUUUCACGAAGUUUUUAAAAAUUACAAUUUCUUACAUACCUCGCAUUUACUAAACGCGAGUUGAAUAAAGUUCACAUUCACUGAGCAUGAGGUCUGAGUCUCAUAAAUGUUUUUAAAUUCCAAAUUCUAACAAACGCGAGCAUUCAUUGGAUGUAAGGACCCCUUGGCAGAAAUAUUUCAUGAAAAGUAACACUUUUGCAGAAUAUUUUUGAAAAUCCAUCAUAAAGUUGGACAUUUUCCAGCAAAUUUCUGUAAAUAAUGUUUGGUUGGAAAAAAAAAAAAAACAGAAAAGUGGCGUGAUUUGGAGAGGGUUCGUCCACUUAAGGUUGUCGUAUUUGGUUUUUUUUUUUUUUUUUCUUUUGACAUGUAUCUAAUGGAAUUUAUUUUUUUAAUAAAAAAUUUUUGCAAAUUUUUUUAAGACACGGUAAAAAAUUUUUAAAAUGUGCGGUGACACAAAGAAAGAUUUUUUUUUUUUUUUUUAAAUUACUAGUCAGUCACCGCAUCUCUCAAUGCAGCGACUAACUAGAAGAGUUUUUUUUUUUCCAAAUUUGUAUCAAAUGCUAGUACGAGGGACCUCAUUUUGCAUCUAUCUAUGGAACUAUGUUCACGUUGCCAACAUUUUAUGCUUCCUCCUUACACUCUAUCCAAACAGACCUGUUAAACCCUUGGUUGGUUUUCUAAACUUUCAUCAAGAAGGAAACCAGGGAAGAGAAACAGUACACACUUCAGUUUUAAUGUUUGCAGUGUCAGCUCUUAAACUUGAAAAUUAAAGACCUACUUCUUGAUUAGAGCUCUGAGAUUCAUUACAACUUAUCAGACUUGUAAAAGAAAAGAAUUUUUUUUUUUAUUUACUCAACUUGUUGAGUAUUGAAAUUCAGCAUGCAGUUAUUUGCUUUCUUAUGUUUUUGACAGCCUAAUGUGCGGCAAUCUAGAAUAGUUCAAGACCAUGCAUGAGCAUUUCGCAUGCUCGCUUGAUGGUUGGGAAAAGAAUUUCCGCUCCAGGUCUCCCUGGUGGGUAGGCAAACCAAUGACGGUCUAUGAAGCUCGCUGCUAUGGGAGGAAAAUGAUGAAUAAUGGGAAGAAAAGUAGUAUAAAAGAGCAUAUCCCAUAUUCGAGCAUUACUAACGAGGGAAGCUCAAUAUUCGAAACAAAGCAAAUGCCGUUGCAUUUUGUUGGUUCUUCACGCUUGAAUACAUCAAGAGUCAAAACAAGGCCCCUGCUGCACAGCUAACAAAGCCUACAAUCACUUCACAUCUGGUGCUGGCAUGCAAAAGUAUGCAUGUACAAGACACAACAGAAAAUUCACAAACUGUGUAAUUUACAGUGAGGUACACUCCAAUAGCCAACAUCAGCUAAUUUUUGAUGAGUGCUUGUAGGAUCAUCCUUGAUUGAGCAAGAGGAUCACUGCGACAAACACUGCUGGCCCAUAUAUUUGGGAGUGGAAACAGUGUCAUCUCCAGUCCACUUAAUUGCUUUUCUAGCCGGUUUAUAGCAGUUGAAUCCAUGAGACUACCAACAACAGUCUGUAGGACACGAGAAGUAGCUUGUAAGAAAAUAUUACUGUUUAGGCCAAUGACAUGAAGGAUCCCGUGUUGUAGACUUCUCAACUUACCCAUAGACUACUGAAGCAGGCACUCAUAACCAAGCAUCGGAGGAGGUUUUCAUCAGAGCUGCCGAUAACUUUAUCACCGCCCACAGAAAAUGUAAGAUCCAGACAUGAAGAAUCAAUCAUAGAUCCAAAAUUUUUUACCACAACUCUUUUGUGCUGCCUGAUAAUUCUGUUCAAAUGGUCAAAACUGGAGUUAUUGGUUUUCCUUCUUACAGGAAUCUUCAAUCUCUGUGAAGUUCGUGCACAAGCUUCAGUUGAAAUAAAUUGAGUAGGCAGUCCAAGCAUAUUUGCAGCUCUUUCAUGGUUAGCCCAGCAACAACAGCAGGAUGAUCCAUCAUCUGCAUGAGAUUUUAUAAAAAGGGUAAUUGCAGAUAUCUCCCCACAUACGGGCCAAAUGAGGAGGGGAAAAAACAGCAGUUAUGUGGGUACCAUACCAAAAGAUGAGUAAUAGUUGAAAGAAAAAAUAAAUGAUGAAUGAUACUGAAGAUGAGAGUGUCAGGGCAUGAAACACAAAAAGUUCACAUGCAGUAAACAAUAGCUCCUCUUGUUCUUUGUUUUUCUUAUCAAUAAAUAAUAAAUCCUGUCUAAUUAUGGUGCAAAAGAUGACAGACUCGCAAGCAAGUAGUAAAACUACCGCAACCAGAGAUAGGCCGAAGGCAUUAACAUUUGAUACAGAUGAUCUAUUGUGGCUGUGCAAAACGCUUCUAACAGAAAAUCAAGUAUCAUUUUAUUUACUAAGAUGAUUUUGCUGUUCCUGCAGUGGCACACAUGGACGGAACUCCAUCAAACAGAGAACACAAGAAUUAGCAGCAAAAAGCAAUGACAGGCUUUUUAAUCGAUCUACGUAUCAAGCAAUUGAAAUCCGUUUCAUCCUAAGAAACAUCAUAAUUUAAUAGUAACACCGAUAAGGGUGUAGACAAUUGCUAUACCCAGAAUAAAACCAGCAAGUGGGAUCUCAACCAUCAAUGAACCAGAUUGCAAUCUUGUGCUUGAAUAGCUAGCUUUCUUAUUCUCCUGUAGAAUUAGGACAUGAACGCCAACAACCUGUCAAAACUGCUAUCUCAUAAAGGAGAACCAGAAGAUCAAGGAAAUAGACUAAUUUCCAGUAGAAUUGGUACAAGGAAUGAUCAAGCAAGAUAACAGCAUGUAGUGUGAGAUUCUAAUAGCUUGUGCUUCAGUUACCCUGCAAUGGAGUUGCAUCAGUUUGAUACCCGUGCCAUCUGUUACUUCAGAGAUCAAAGCUGCAGGAAAGGCACUCGGAGAAGUCGCAUAGCAUGCAACUAUAGAGUUGGCUACAGGAUCAUUCUCAUUGUUGCACCCAUUGUCAACAACAUUUACGGAAUCAAUCUCAAUGAAAGAUGCAGGAAUCAACAUAUAAUGAUUCUGUUGACUGCAAAAAGGAUGUAUCAAAUUAAAAGGUGUUGUCAAAGUGAUCCACAUAAUUAACAGGGAAAAAUCCUCCAUAACUGCAAGUACGGCACAUGUCAUGUGACACCAUUGGAACUUCUUGUACAACAUACAACCAGUCAUUCGCUAUGCAUUUCAAUACAUAAAUCCUUUUUUCUUUUUUCUUUAAUUUGGAAAAUCCAGAAGGCUAUUGGAAACUGGUACAGGCCAUGGAUUAAGAGUUUAGUUCCCAGUUUAAGAAUAAGCCUCAAUUCUCACCAUCCACAUCCCCACUUCCUGCUUCCUCCUUCCCUCCCCAUUCUAAAAAAUUUAAACAAAAGCUGGUUAUAAAUCCUCCUACAACUCUCAUACCACAGAAGUUGAAAAUACCAUUUGAUCAUGACACUUCAUUUAUGAAUUUCCAAAAUGUCGUAAAUAAUAACUGGAAUGCAUAUUUUGCAGAUGAUCAAAAAGUACUAGGAGAAAAAAAUAUAGUAAGAUGAAUGUUUCUUUUCUAUUUUGGGAAAAUAAUAUAUAUAUAUAUAUAUAUAUAUAUAUAUAGACACACACACAUAUUAUAGGAACUUACAUCAAGAGACCAAAAACUGGACUAUAUAAAUUCAAAGAACAUACAUUAGCACAUAAAUGAUAGUUUCCAAAUUAUGGAGCAGUUGACAGUAAAAACCGUAAAGUGCAUGUAAAUGAUGUAAUAUAUAAUGUAGGAAAUGAACAUUAGGUUCAGAGGGAUAACAUGUAUAAACUCAACAAAGCAUACCCAAGCACAAGAAUUCGGUGAAAAGUAGCAUGGACUCCUGUUCCGAACCCUGUUGGGUAAGCUUGCUUAUCUAGAGCACCAAAAAUCAUGGCCUACCAAGUCAAAUAUGUAGAAUGAAAUGAGCUACUAAAAGUAAUUCAAAAUUGUGAAAAAAGAUAAUUAUACUGGGAUGAAAUUGGGCUAUACCAUGUGAUAGUCCACAAGAGCAUGAAUGCAAAUUAUACUGGUUCCUUGAGAAAAUAUUGGCUGAUGAACAUUGACAGGACUUUCAUUCCACAAAUGUUCCACAAAAGAAGUACGACUAGAAUCAUGAAUGGCCACUAUUUGUCCACGAAAAGUGAGAAGAUUUCCUUCAGGCAAAAGAAGAUUAGAAUGACCAGUUUCAGGAGAAAGCACAGUGGCAGUAAUUGCUGUCCUGUGUACAUUAUAAAUGCCAAUUUCUUCUUCAAGUGAAGCUGGCGACUUCAUCAGACUAGUUUUAGAAUUGUUUGCAUCAAUCUUAAAGUAACUAAUGACAUCUGCAGGCACGCAUAAAUUGAAGUCUGAAUAGGAUUCAGGACUAAAACCAUUGAACUUAAGGGGUUCAACUUGAAAUUGCUGAGUAGUAUCAGGCGUAAUUUCAUCAUUGCUGACACAUGAAUCACUCUGUUGAACUAUAGGUGACGGAUCUGAAUUCUUGGCAACCACAUCAGAAGAGAAUGAUAGGCGCCAGAGACAUGUUUCAGAACUAACUAGUAUUACACCACCAAGUGCUUUAUCAUCAACCUUUGCACGACAGAGCACGUCAUUUUGAUGGUGCUUUACCAUGUAGAAAGCACCAAUUCUCAGUCUCUGCGGAUUGCCAAACAAUAGAUGUGAUGAUUACUAAAAGAGAUUCAUCAUCCUUAUUGCAAAUAACUACGUAAGAAGGAAAAGAGCAACAUACUUGAUACAUGUUCAAACUUUCAGAAUCAAACUCCAGGAAAACCCUUCUUCCAUCUGGAUUGCACCCGGAACUUGUCACUUCCUUUUUGUCUGUGCAAUGCACAAGACCUUGGUAAGGACACUUAAUACUUCUACUAGAGAUCAGACAAGGAAAUUUAAGUGGACAACUGGCGUCACAGUGUUUUCUCUCGGUACAGAAGUCAGUGCAAUAUGAAUCAUUCGAGCAGCCACAGGUCAAGUUUGCAGCCUCUGAUAAUCCAGAUUCCUGGGCCUGAAUUGAGACUGCAUCAGUUUUACAUCUCUUAAGAUGUCCAUAUAUCUCAUACUUUACAUUUUUUAAUUCAUCUACGGGAACCACACCCAAAUGUGCAACAUCAUUCUUCUCAGGCAAAACCAAAUCCCAGGGCAAAAUUGCAACCUCAGCAAAAGCACUUGAUUUGUUUGAAAUGAAUUGAUCUCCUAGACACUAAGAAAACAUGAACUUUACAAAUUCAGGGGUCCACAAAACAGAAUCAAUGGCAUUAGAAGGUUAACUUGUAGCUAAAUCAGAGCAGAUACCUUAUGAAGCAAUGGAAAUUUGUGCUUUAACAGAAGUAGGUGAAAAUUUCCACCCUCAAACUCCUGAAGGCUUUCUUUAGACUUCUUGCUAGAAAAAGAUGAAUGACAUGAUGUUUUUCCUCCAAAAUGAUAGUAAAGGAAAAGCGAUAUUUUUGUCUCUCUCACUAGUGGAGCAUUCUCAAAGAUAUUCCUACAUGUCAAUGGUUCACUUGCAAGUAAUUUUGAACAGUCCAGAUAAUCAGGUAUCCCUUGCAUUACUAUCGUGAAGUCUUCCACCUGAAAAGAAUGGUACGUCCCAAAUAACACCAAUGCUGAUAAAAUUCUUUAAACAGUUUAGUAGUACCUUUAAGAGAAUCGAAAGUCUAAAAAGGAAGCCAAAGAAGAUUGUGGAGACAUCAUCACCUCAUAAACUCUUUUCAAAUCCCAGUUUGAUGGAAUGUCAGGUAUAACAACAUCAAUGCUUCCAGUAGCAUCAACAAGCUGCAACCUCCCAGAUGAUAGUGGAACCUGUAUAAACUUCAUUUCACCAUAAAUACAACAGAAGCGUUCUGAAUCUUCGAUCAAAUGCAAUACAAACAAUGUAUUCUCAGCUAUUAAUUUCAAUUGAUGCAAUAAAAACUUAUGAAAAUUAUGAUCAGUGCCAGGCAACGCUUUAUUCAAAUAUAUUCGAAUUGCAAUACUACAACUACUUCAGAAAAAUGAGGAUGCAUUCCACCUCACAGUAGAUGAUAAUUGUUUAUAAAGGGACAGGAAGAAAGGACCUUAAGACAUAAACUUGAAAAUGCGUGUGCAACAGAAAGGAAGUAGAAAUAUGUUUUUUUGAAGUUAAUGCCUAAAGCUAGUAAUCUAGCAGGCAAAGCAUCAAAGUGACAAGAACUUCGCCACUAGAUACAAUGAACAGCUAACAUCUUGCAAUAUUCAAGAAUGUAUGGGCAUAAGAAUCAGAGCUUUCUAAUUUUAUAAGUUAUCUUUCCUCCUAUCCCAAAAAGUUGGACAUUACUGGGCAAGUUUGCAGUUCACCUUGAUGGGGUUGACAUUCCAUAUACUGGAAUUAGUUGGGAAAAGUAAAAUUUGCAAAGUUGUCCCUUGACUUUUGUGUGAGACUUAAUGAGAGCCAACAUAACUUAGAAAACAGAGCAUACUUAUAGAAAAAGGUGAAGGAUAGGUUGAUGAUGAAAGAAAAAUAACCUCCAGUUUGAAAAAGACCACAUGGUAAGAUUGUCCUUUUCAUGGGACAGAAACACAUGGUAGAGCAGAUACAGAAUAUGCUAUUUAUGUUUGAUCUUUUCACCUCUUUGUGCCUGGGAGCAGCUCUCAUGUUCUGUGCUGAGAGAAUCAUCCCAUAUGCACUAUUCUUUAUUACCCAGACUAGAAAUAAAAGUUAGAGGUGCUUCCAAUUUAUUUGCUUCUAAAAGCUUUAGGAUCAAGAACAAGUCCCUAACAUCAAUUAUAAUUGUAUUAUCUAAAACUAAACCCAAAUAAUGGGGUUAUCAGAGAAGGAAAAGGAAAUAAUAUUUGUAUUGGACCUUUAGAUUUCCAAGUAAAAUUACACCAGUAUCUUGAAUUUGAAAAGUUUUCCUUAUCAGGUUUGCAUAAGAUUUUCCACAGCAGGAUAGAUAGUAUUUCUCCCUCCUGCUAUUGAUAAUAUCAAAUUCAUCUUCUGAGUCCAACAACAUUUUGAUCCAUCUGUUCUCAAAAUCGCUCCAUAAACAAGAAAUGGGUACCACCUGAAAUUGGUAUAAAACCAAAAGUCAGUUGCGUUUUGCUCGGAUAUGAAAAUAUGAUAAGCUAUAAAACUACAUAAGAGAAGCGAAACAUAGAAACAACAAACAAUUAUUAGUUUAGACUUACUAAUUUGAGAUGACUAUAAUCCUCUUCCUUAUGAUAAGCACACGAACCAUGCCUGCAAUACUCCAAGAACACUCCGUGCUGCUAACAGAAACUAGUGAUGGGAGGUGAAAACAUGUAAAACCAUUAACAAUCUAUGUUUUAACAGAGACAUGCAGAAAUCUUACCCGCAUUUGGUAGGCAGAUGCAGGUAGAUGUGAAUUGGUAUAUGUUUGAGCUAGUCCUACCUCCUGGCAACACCUUAUAACUGCUCAUGUCAGCUUUCUCAAUGACAUGCAUAAGAACAGAAAGUAGCCUUUCCGGCAGUAUUUAGAUGUAAAGCAAUCAAAAACCAUGAAAUUCCAACCCAGUAUUUACAUGUUUUGAUCCUAAUAUUUCCUUCUCAGACAAAAUCCCAGCAAACUUUUUCCGGAAACAUGUGACAGUCAGUAGUACCCUGAAGCAAAAGAGCAAAGACGUUUUAGGCAAACUCAUCCAUGGGCAAAUGAAGAAAUUACAGAAAAGCUAUUCUACCAUAGUCUUGCUGGAAACACCAUUGAGUCGACAAAUUUCCGGAGAGAGUUUUGGGAAUGUGAGUUCCUGUGGCAACUGCAAGAUGGAAAUAAUCGUAAAGGUGAAUAUGAUAUCGUUAUUGGUUCAUUAUUAUGACUGCCUUUUUUAAGUUGUGUGGCUAACCCUGUUUCCAUUGGAGAAAAUGAUUCAACACAAAUGCAUGUCAUGAAGCAGGUACCAAGCAAAAGUAUCUUUGUCCAAGAAUACUUCGCGCUCACAAAAUGAACAUUUUUCACAGAUACCUGUGAAGGGUGUACAAGUUAUGAAUCAAUGCAUUCUUCUAUGCAAAGUGAGACAUUUAUCAACAGAAGGACUUCAACUAAGUAAAAGACACGAGCAUAGGUGUUGAAGCAAAAUCCUCAGGAUCUUCUAGCAUUUCCAGGCAGGUCUACAUCUAGAAAAAGCAGAAUAAAUUGAUAAGGCUAAAAUGGUAGCACACUUACAAUGGCACCAACUCUCAAACUAUGUGGUACCAUCAGCUGGUGGUCUGUUAACAAAAGAAGCACUCCUUGAUCCAACUCCACAACCAUGCCCUGCAUGUAAACCCCGGUAACGGUUCCAGCAUAGCUGCCAACCUCACCAAACCCUCUCACCUCAGCCUUUUCUUUUGAAAUAUAUUUCUUUGCCAUCACAGGAAGCCGCAACAAAGCUUUAUCGGUGGUUACAUACAUCAGUUCGGAAUCAUCCUUUCCAAUAUAAACCAACUUCUUCUUCAAUCCAGAGAGUGAAAUAAGAUUCCCUAUUAAUCUCACCAUCACCGGGUGCCAAGAUGAAGCAGACCCACAGAAAUAGACAAUCAAACAUUUCAAAAAGCAAUGAUUUUUACAGCUCUCAUCACUUAAAUCUCUCAAUGCCAAUAUGGUUUUCCGAGACCUACAAAAUUCGCACUCACAAACCAAGAUUUUUACAAGAAACCCGCAAAUAUUUCUCGAAUCACAUCUAGAACUACUACCACCUGUCGAACAUGGAACUACGGAUACAGGACUUAUGGAUUCCAGUACACCAAAUAGCGAAUAUUUAACCUUUGAAUCAUCCUUACAAUCAAAUGCACCCAAACCUAAUGAAAAUUCAGUCAAAUUCGAAGAAUAUUCUAUGAACUCCCAUCUAAUAAUCUCCAAAAACCCACUUAACCUACACCCAACUCUCAAAGGAAUAAAAUUCCAGGCGCAAAUGCGGAUCUUUUGACCUAUCAUUUGCAGCUGAAAAUCAAGGACGUCGCAACAAAUUGUGACAGAGCCAUCGGUAAACUGUAAGCAGCUACAUUCAAUUGUGGAAACAUCAUCAUUAUUCUUGUUGGAGUGUAACGGCAGGGAUACAGCUCCGAUGAGAAUUGCUGGGUGAUUCAAGGGUUUCAGGAGUUUAAUUGUAGGGUUUUGCGAGGUGGGUUUAUUAAAGUGCAUGGGAGGCUCAUCUUGCGGUUGGGGCGCUGAAGAAGGAACAUUACCGCCCGGAGUGAGCGAGGAAACGCCGGUGAGCGGCCGAGCGCAGCUGAUGAGAUCGGAGAUUUUGAGGAUAUUGGCGGUUUUGCCUUCCAUCCAGGAAUGUGCUUUUUUUGUUUUGGGGGGGUUCAUUUUUCCCGGCAUAUUAUGAGCGGGAAGGAGGCGUCUUUCGAAAGCUUUGUGGCAUCUGGAAGUUUCAAUCAAGAGGCCCAAGCCCAGUAAAAAUGUAGUGGCCUGGCCUCUCUAUUGAGUUGCUUGAUUCUUGUUCGGCCUAUUUUAUUUCCCGUAACUUUUGGAUCAAUAUAUCUGUCUGAAGGCUUCGCACAUGUGAUCCAAUAUAAGACUUUGUAGGUAUAUCUACAUGUAGUAACGGGCUUAGGCCUACUCUGAUAACAAAAAAAAAAAAAAGAAUCGACCAAAGUGUUUUAAAUUUACCAAGUUUGUUGCAUUAAUUCCAGAGUGCAAAAUGAUCUAGUAUAGAAUACGACAAGAUGACAAAGAAAAACACAUUUGAGGUUGGGACUGAUAAAUACUAAGGCUGUUUGAAAUAUAUUAUUUGUCAUAAUUACUAUAAUACUUUUUGUGAUUAAAUAUAUGCAAAAAAAAAUUUAGUAGAAAGAUAAAAAGUUAAUUAAGAAUUGCAUUUGUGAUGCAAGUAAAAUAAUAUUUGAAAAAAAUUUUGCUAUCCAAUUACACUCCAUCAUGUUUUGCAUAUAAUGACUAUUUAGAACUUAGAACGGGUCUGUUCUAUUUUUUUUUUUUGGAGGUGAAAUUUGUCAACACAAAUUCGAAAUGCCAAGGAAAAUAUUGGAGUACUUGAGAGUUGAACAGAAAUCUCAUUAUAUUAUCUAACUAAAAUCCAACCAUUGUAUGUCAGGGACAUCCCAAAUAGAGGAUCAUCUGGCUUAUAUCUGUUUUUACAUAUGCAUGGUGAGAUUUUGUAAUCAUUUGCUCACUGAUUUUGUUGUUGAAGAGUGGUAAAGGAAGCCAAUGCUCUCCGCUUCCUAUGGGAUAAGAUUAUGGUCAUCAAUCCUAUGACAGUUUUGAACCGGUCAAAAUCCCGUACAAGAAGGGAAAAGAUGGCAAUAUAUAUAUUGUCCAUGUUUAUCUUUCUCCCCAAAGACAGAGAUGGAUUGCCGAAACUAUCACAUAAGGCCUCCACCCAGCCUGGAAUCUUCAGGCAGCAUUGUAAGCUAGAGAGCUGGACUUGCGAUGUCUUCUGGAUUCCAAAGUUCAAAUUCACAUAUGAUACCUCAUUUAUCCGACACCCUGGGAGCUGACAAAGAUGAUAGAUACCAAGGGUAGUUUCGAAAUAAUCCAGAAAGCAGUUGUAGAGGUAGAUGAAGGGGGAACGAAGGCUGCAGCUGUUUAAAUUAUGAGCCUCCUCCAGCGUAUGAAUUUGUGGCUGACCAUCCUUUUCUCUUCAUGGUAAGGGAAGAGAAAUCUGGGUCGGUGCUGUUUAGUGGAACCGUCUCGAAUCCUCUCCUGCAGGAAUGAAUGAUCUCUGUCAAUUACUGAUAGAUGGUAUACUAAUAAUUGAGGGUGAAGGUGAGGGUGGUACUUGCGUAUAUUAAUCCAACCUAGCUUGGCACGAUUAUUUUGAGCUUAUCGUGGCAAUGGAGCACAACGAAUUUUCCUAAAUUCUUUUUUAGUUUUAUUUUCUCGUCUGGACAAGUUAAUCAAUUAGAAGGUUUGUUUUGUCUUUGCAAAAGAAGGGCCAUUUUGAUUAAGAUCUGUCUUCCAACCUGUUUCAAGUUCUUUAUUUCUACUUGUGCACAUACAAAACAUGUGCAAACACGAAUAUGCACAAAAGGCACCUGUGGAGGCCAAUUGUGUAUUUGUCCGCCUCAGUAACGGGUGCUUGGAGGGAGGCCUCCCCAAAAUUCGAACCCUGGUCCUUUGGGAUAAGGGUUUUGGGGUUGAAGUUCUGAUAACACAAUUUAUAUCCGUACGUGGGUUUGAAUUUCGAAUAUAUGAUCAGGUUGUAAUUUUCCUGAUCAGAUGGGUCGAUCAACUCUUAACUGGGCCAGUUAAUUUCUAGUGGGUCUCGCACCAGGCCCAAGUCAAUUUAAUCGAAAAUGUUCUUAACUUCUUGAUCCAAUGGGCCGUUCACAAUGGCAUUGGACCUCGCACCAGGCCCAAUAAAUAUUUUAUCAAUGUAUGGCACAAAAUGUAGUAUCUCAAUAUGUCACCAUUAAUAUUAGGGUCAGGACUGUCUUAUUUGUACGCAUCUUGUUUAAGGAUGAAAUGAACUGAAGCAUUUUAUUUCCUUCCUGCGUAUCUAUUACACGUGUCACUGCUGCAUUAAAUCCCUAUGUAUUACAUACGUACGAAUACUCGUAUCCUAUCCAGUGCUCUACGUUGCGUAUAUACGUAUGUUCCUGUGCGUGUGGGUCCCACUUCAUUGUCCAAUGGAAGGGGUUUCACCAGGUCAGGGGUUCGACUCCUCCUCCUCAGCUGCUGCUCCCGGUGGAGCUGGCAUCGUCCGCAGCAUCCUCUGAAUCCGACAGGGUUCCCUUCAGCUCCUCUACCGCCCUGAACAGCAGGUCUAGUUCGCGGAUGAAUCGCAGGCUCCCCAUGCGAAGUGCAAAGUACAUGCCCAGGAGCACCACGUGCUCCAUGCCGCAGUCUCUCGCGACCCUGAAGAAUCCUGCCAUGUCCCUCACGUUUGCCAUUUUAUUUCUGCUCGUCAAAAUGCACCGUAUCGACCAGUUCACUGGAAUGGGCAUGCCGAGCAUGGAAUGCUCCGUAUUUAUCGUCUUAUCCCUCUGCCACGUGUCGCGUGUGGGGCCCACAGGGCCGGGGACACGUGUCAGCCAUCCCGCCCCAAGCGGGAGUGUUCAAAAUUUGAAGUUCGACGUGGGGGGGAAAAUUCGAAAUUGAAUUUCGAAUUUGAAUUUUAAAUUCCAAUUGCAACAAUGCCUCCGGGUAUUGUGCUGCUCCACCUACUCGCACUGUGCGUCAGUGCGGGGCUCUGCCCUCCCGGGCGGCCAGUGGCCUUUGGCCACAUGGCAAAGAAGUACAGCGGCCCACGUUCCCGCGGGGGAUACGUGGGGGGGCCCUCCAACCAAAUGACAAAAAUGCCAUUGGGUUGAGCGUACUAAUUACCACAAUAUCAUUGGGUUGAGUUGAUCUCAACCGUCCAAUGUACUCCUGGGGGGUGACGUGGCCCUCCUAUCCGCCGUCCACGUGUCCGCCCCGAGCGUUUUUGUAAUAUUAUAAGACACUCGGAAGACCCCUAUAUAAGCCAACCCAUUCUACCCAAUAGUAGGGAUACUUUGUAUUGGGGUGGGUGACGUCAUCAGGUUGGGUUGAGCUUCAAUAUGCCCAGAGCACCUUCUUCCUUCUUCAUAAACGUGAAGAACAUAUUCCUCACCUAUCCCAGGUGUGUUCUUCCCAAACAACAAGCAUUAGAUGCAAUUAGGAACAUCUAGUUCCCUAUUUCUCUCAUUUAUGUGCGGGUUACUCAAGAAACCCACCAAGAUGGUUCUCCUCAUCUACAUUGUCCGCUUCAAUUCGAAAGUAAAUUUCGCACUGAAUCUGUUAGAUUCUUCGAUAUCAAAUCCCCCACUUCAAAUUCGAUGUUCCAUCCGAAUGUUCAAGGUGCCAAGAAUUCAUCAACAGUUAGGGAUUACAUAUCCAAAUACGGUGAUUUUGUCGAAUGGAGAGAGUUCCGGCCAGAUGACCGGAGCAGAUUCUCAUCUGACAAAACAGAUGAGGUAUAUGCCGCUGCGCUUGCCGGGUAAGAUAAGGGAAUGGCUCUCAAUAUCAUCAAGAGGGGCGAUCCUCGAUCGUUCAUUAUUCAUUACGACAAAUUGUCCAGCAAUCUGGACAGAAUAUUCCAGAAGCCACCAGAACCAUACGUGGCUCGUUUCCCACAAUUUGAACGCGUUCCUUCAUUCUUGAUCCAUUGGGCCGAUAAAAAUGUUACUGGGCCUGAUGACAGACCACACAGGCCCACGUUCAUAAUAAUAGAAGGCCCAAAUCGAACUGGUAAAACAUGUUGGGCUAGAAGUCUUAAUCCUCAGACCCACAAUUACUAUGCAGACCAUAUUGAUCCGACCCAUCACUCUGAUAAUGCAUGGUACAACGUCAUAGAUGACGUAAACCCUCAGUUUCUCAAACACUGGAAAGAAUUCAUGGGUGCACAACGAGAUUGGUCGUCCAAUUGCAAAUAUGCCAAACCCAGGAAAAUCAAAGGGGGAAUUCCGACAAUUAUGCUCUGCAAUCCUGGUCUCAAUUCUUCAUAUCACGUCUAUUUAAGUGAACCACACAACCAGGAUCUUCUCAACUGGACUAAGAAGAAUGCUGCAUUCUUCUUCCUGGAACAACCCCUCUUUGCACUCACAAACCAAGAGUAGGCACCAAUUGUCCAAGAAGUUCAAGAAUUGGACAACACCAACUAAGUCCUAUUCCGUAUCCAGGAUUUCAGCAUUUCCUGAUCAGAUGGGUCGAUCAACUCUUAACUGGGCCAGUUAAUUUCUAGUGGGUCUCGCACCAGACCCAAGUCAAUUUAAUCGAAAAUGUUCUCAACUUCUUGAUCCAAUGAGCCGUUCACAAUGGCAUUGGGCUCGCACCAGGCCCAAUAAAUAUUUUAUCAAUGUAUGGCAUAAAAUGUAGUAUCUCAAUAUGUCACCAUUAAUAUUAGGGUCAGGACUGUCUUAUUUGUACGCAUCUCGUUUAAGGAUGAAAUGAACUGAAGCAUUUUAUUUCCUUCCUGCGUAUCUAUUACAUGUGUCACUGCUGCAUUAAAUCCCUAUGUACUACAUACGUACGAAUACUCGUAUCCUAUCCAGUGCUCUACGUUGCGUAUAUACGUAUGUUCUUGUGCGUGUGGGUCCCACUUCAUCGUCUAAUGGAAGGGGUUUCACCAGGUCAGGGGUUCGACUCCUCCUCCUCAGUUGCUGCUCCCGGUGGAGCUGGCAUCGUCCGCAGCAUCCUCUGAAUCCGACAGGGUUCCCUUCAGCUCCUCUACCGCCCUGAACAGCAGGUCCAGUUCGCGGAUGAAUCGCAGGCUCCCCAUGCGAAGUGCGAAGUACAUGCUCAGGAGCACCACGUGCUCCAUGCCGCAGUCCCUCGCGAUCCUGAAGAAUCCUGCCAUGCCCCUCACGUUUGCCAUUUUAUUUCUGCUCGUUAAAGCGCACCGUAUCGACCAGUUCACUGGAAUGGGCGUGCCGAGCAAGGAAUGCUCCGUAUUUAUCGUCUUAUCCCUCUGCCACGUGUCGCGUGUAGGGCCCACAGGGCCGGGGACACGUGUCAGCCAUCCCGCCCCGAGCGGGAGUGUUCAAAAUUCGAAGUUCGACGUGGGGGGAAAAAUUCGAAUUUGAAUUUCGAAUUUGAAUUUUAAAUUCCAAUUGCAACAGUGCUUCGGGGCACUGUGCUGCUCCACCUACUCGCACUGUGCGUCAGUGUGGGGCCCGGCCCUCCCGGGCGGCCAGUGGCCUUCGACCACAUGGCAAAGAAGUACAGCGGCCCACGUUCCUGUCGGAACGUAGGGGGACACGUGGGGGGGCCCUCCAACCAAAUGACAAAAAUGCCAUUGGGUUGAGCGUACUAAUUACCACAAUGCCAUUGGGUUGAGCUGAUCUCAACCGUCCAAUGUACUCCUUGGGGGUGACGUGGCCCUCCCAUCCGCCGUCCACGUGUCCGCCCCGAGCGUCUUUGUAAUAUUAUAAGACGCUCGGACCAAUCACAGCACGCCACUUGCUCAACCCAGUCUACCCAAUACAAUGGAUACUUUGCAAUGGAUGGACUGAUGUCAUUCUAUUGGGUUGGAUGACGUCGAGCUGGUGACUGUUUACCAUCAUCUUCCUUUCGACUGGGUCCACUGUUUCUAACCAGUAACACAUAACCCAUUACCUCCCAAACAUCUCAUCUUGGUCAAAGCCAAGAUUUUAGGGCAACAUUCAAUGGAAAUACCAAGAUCUUCCAGAUUCCAAGCUAAUCUGUCCAUAUGAUGCAAGAAUUGUACUUCGAAAGUGAAGCACCUUCUUCAUUCCCAAUGACAUUUUAAACGACCCAUCUGAUCAAGAAAUGUUAGGCCACUUACACGGAUGGCCCACGCUGCGAUAGCCCUAAUUCUAUUCAUUUAUCUUCCCCAGCAAGCGCAGCGCCACACAGACAGCUCGACUUGUCAGAUAAGAACCUUCUCGAACCACAGGGUUCGACAUAUAUAGAAGUUAUAGAAUUGCCUCACAUACAACAUCGCAUCGAUUAGAAUCGAUGCUUCAUUACAGAGGGAAUGAAGAAGGUGAAUCACCUUCGAAGUACAAUUCUUGCAUCAUAUGGAUAGAUUAGCUUGGAAUCUGGAAGAUCUUGGUAUUUCCAUUGAAUGUUGCCCUAAAAUCUUGGUUUUGACCAAGAUGAGAUGUUUGGGAGGUAAUGGGUUAUGUGUUUAAAAAUUGAUUACGUUCAAAUAUUCUGGACAGUUUUUCCAGCACUCGUAACAAUCAAGCAGGUGUUUAAAAAAAAAAAAAAAGUGCUUUUCGAAACAGAAGAGAACAUUAGUAAUGGUAUAGCAGGGCAUUUGUAUGGACAGUGAAAGACUUUGCUGUUUUUUGGUUUCUCGAACGGGUGUUCUCAUCGAUCAAAAGGGAUUCCAGAACUGUGCAGUUAAGAAAAAUUCAAUUGAGUGUGCAAAUGUACUAAUCUAGUCUAAAGUAGGAUAAUAUAGGUAUUACGAAAAAAAAAUAAACUCCACGUGUUAAUAUUAGUCUGAGUGUCAAUUUGAAAAAAAAAAUGUUGAAAUCAGACAAGGAGAGUGUCUCGAACCAGAUAGUUAGGAUAAUGAAUAUGAGUAUCCAACAAUGAAUGUGGCAAUAACAAGUGCACAAUAAAAACCCUAAUUCUUUCGUUUAAUAAAUGCUCAUCAACUAUAGGCAAUUUUUACCAUAAUUACGGUGGAUUUUAGUAAAGUGUCUAUAAAGCCCAAGCCAAAACAGUGGAUUUUAGGAAUGAGGUACCGGUUCUAUCUCAUCUCUUUAGUACAUGUAUCGCAUUCAAUUAAUCACUAGUAGUGCAUGCUAUGAAUUUUUACAUGAUUAUGAUUGUUGGACUUAUUAAACCAAACUCAGUGAUUAGUAGUGUCGUUAGGAUUGGAAUUGUUGUUUGCCAGAUUAUGUUGAUUUAGGAUGUAAAGUUUACUGUGUCUCGGGGUCAGAGUUAGAAAA
rnacentral:lncRNA from 1 species